rnacentral:lncRNA from 1 species
UUUUUCUUUUUUCGUUCCUUUUUAAACAUCUGGAGAAGGGAGCUAGACAAGAAGCAAGUGUAAAUUUCAAUGCAUGAAAUUGAAAACCAAAUACAAAUGCUUGUCCGUUGCUAAAAGAGCAUGGCGACUCUCAUGAUGAACUUAAUGGACCAUUAUUUACAUUGAAAAAAAAUCGAAACAAAAAAUCCAAUAAUCAGAAUUGUAAUACAGAAAUCCAUAUUAUGAAAAAAAAAAUCCAUAUUGUAAUCCAACCAAUCUCGUAUGCUUCGUUUAGACUGCUACGGAUUCCAUAUUGCCUUUUCAUCAUCAUCUUUUGGGCAUCCCCCUUCACCCCAUACUUGCAAAGGGCAAUAUCACAACAACAUUGCCAUGAGCAGCAGCAACAUUUUUAUGCCAAGAUCCACAUGAAGAUUGUCGACCAUACUGUCAGAGACAACACUGCAAACAGGUAAGUCCAUAGGAGGAGGACAGAACAUUCCUCUUGUGCCACAUCAACGAGCUGUGUCAUGGUGCCUGCAUCAAUAUCACAACUUUCAUCAAUUUUGAUUCUUGAUUUGAUUAGAGUCCAAGUAGCAUAGUAUCAAAUGAACCAAUGCAUGGUAAAGAAAAUUUCAUUUUUGAAUUUUUUGUUGAAUGCUUAAAAUCAUCGUUUUAGGGAUAUUGUUGAGCAGGUCAUGAAAGUUUUUGCAUGCUCUGAAGACAUGACCAAGUAGUUUAAAAGUCAAAUAGGGAACAUCCUGGAGAAUAUUGCAAAUGUGAUUGAGUUCCAUACCAAUAUUCAUGGCAGGCGGCAGAGUAUAUUGAAUCAGCAGCACAAAAUGGUAGAGAGGAUCUGGUGGAAGGAAGCCGAAAUGAGUGGCUGCUUUAACUACACCAAUUCCAAUACCAGGAAGCAGUAUGUAUCGCACGCAGAUGACUGCAACGAUGAUCGGUGGCUUCAAUCUUGCCUUGCGUAAGCCUAUUCAAUUAAUAAAAAUUGUUAGAAGAGUUUUGAAUACGCCCACAAAAUUGCUUAUUGUAUUAGAACCGGGGUUAAGAUCUUCUCACCCUGUAUCAAGUUCCCUCCGAGGAUAAGAAUAAUGCAAGGUAUGGUUCCAUCGCUACAAAGUCAGCCAAUUUAAAGUGAGUUUUGUGGAAAACCAAAACAAACAAAAAAAAAAAACACGCGAAUCAAUAACAGAAGCAGUGUUCAGGGUCAAUGUUAUUAACAUCUAAUAUCAUAGUGAAACUGUGGAAUUACUGAGCAGCAUUCAGUUCGAUUACAUACCCAAGUAAUGCGAUAGAGUCUUGAAUGACAUGGAGUGGGGCAUUGUCACCAAUUAUGAGAUUUCUCAGCCAUGUAAUUGCACCAAAGAUUAAGCCUAUUAUCUGGAAUACAAUGGAACAGUUAUUAAGCAAUAUAGCCUCAGAAUGACAGAACUAAAAUUGAGAACGAUGCUAAUACAAAAGGGUUGUGAGUUCUACCGCUGCAAGUGUUGCAGGUGUCAUUAACUCCUCUAGUAUCUGGUAUACGAUUCCAAAUAAUUUGGUCCAGAACGAUGCAUUUUGCUGUUUUGACUUGAAAGAUGAUCCUUGAGAAACAACCUACAGGAAACAUGUAAACUUUGGGUAACUAUAACGAGAGUAGUCAGAGAACCAAAGCUCAUGGAGCAGGGGUCUCACAUCUAUUAAUUUGCAUCUCUUCUACAUGAACUCACAUUUUGGUUUUUCACAUCGUCUUCGGUAGGUUCUGUUGAAUCUACAGAUACAGAGACAUGCUCUUGAGCAUUGGCCUCAAGAAGUUGAGACUUCUCAUCUGCAUCCAAAUCUUUGUUGGGUUCUGCUAAGGUCUCCACCCAAGCAGCCUUUUCAGCUUCGUAUUUGCGUGCGGAGUUUUUUAUUAAAUGGUAAGUGUAGGUCCAUAUGUAAAUACCACCAAGCUACAAAAAUCAGUAAUAAACAAGGACUCAGACGAAGAGCAUUCAUAAUUUUUUAUUCAAUGCCACCAAUAAUGUGAAUCGAAAAUAUGACUAUUUCCUAAUUUCCUGUGAAAUGAAGUCUUGGUGGAAAUUCAGGCCCAGAGACAUUAUUCUUUCCGGUUAAUACUUUGCGUCUGAGAAUCUGUGAUACAUGAUUUAUCACAUAGUUCAGUGCCCAAGAGAUGAUCUUACCGCCAUAGAGAAGGAGGCGUAUGAGAGUCCAAUAGUAGAGCAAGUCUUAUGAUCGCCAAAUGGGCUGCCAUCCUCUUUACAGAUUGCUGGAACAAUUAUCAGCAGAAGGUUUCCCAAGUUUCCUGUAUAUUAUUUUACUGUCAUAUUCUAGAAGCUGGAGACAUUGAGAAGCCUAACACAAGAAAUUAUAAGGCUGACAAAUUGGAAAUACAGUUACCUGAUGAACAUGUAGCAAUGACAAGACCCUCUAAAUGGGGCCUUGGUUUCACUAGUUUGACAGCAAUCCACCCAAGUAUUCCUCCAAAGAGAAAGGUCAAGCCAAUAUUGACAGGCAUAAACCACCUGUACAAACAUAAUUAUGAAAUUUUAUGGUAAAAUGGAUCUUAGAAAGGUCAGCAUUUAUUGACCACAUGUAAGUCAUUCCCCUUUUUAUCCUAGGAGCUUUCUUCAAGUUUAUUUACACCACGUAAAUUGAUUGAUAAGUGAAUGCAUAAUGAUGUACAGUAAAGAAUGAAUCAUACCAUGAGAUAAUGUCAUCAAGGGUGACAGUCUUGGCCAAACUUGCAAACAUCAGUGAGGGAGUAAACACCAUAAACACAAUCUGCAAUGGUCCAUUAUAAAACUUUACCACCAAAUCUCAUUUUUUGUGAAUGACCGUAACAAAAGAAAAUGAACCCGUAAAGGAACACAAACAAUGUAAGUCAGCAUUACCUUGUUUAAUGAUUUUCGAGCAUCAGCAGGCAGAAGAUUUAGAUGUUCAGUUGCCAUGACAGCUCCCAAUACACUUAUGAGGAGCACCUGGAUGAUUGGCAUGGAAGCCACCUCAAGCAAAGUCCAGAAGCCCAUCUCUUUGUUUAUUUUACUUGACAAAAGUCUCCGAAAUCAAAGAAUGUACAACAACUGAGAUGGGUUCUGGCUCUUUUCUUGGCUGGCCUUUCAGUCAGCUGCUAAAUAUACGGCUGACUGAUAAAGGCGGUACACCUCUAGUAGAAAAGAAGGAAGAUCCUGUAAGCCACCUGCAAAAUUAGUAAAGAAAAAUGCCAAUUUGAUACAUCAACCCCAAGAAACAAAAACAAAAUAUAUAUAAAGGAUUCUACGACUUCAUAACAUUUCUCAAAGGGUGCAUAUGUAUAUGCAGCCAUCAUCUUGCUGGUUCAUUUUGUAUUUUUCUUAUUCUCUUUCCUGCUGAUUGAGAAUGUGCUCAGUUAAGGAAACAGCCAUGAAAUUUACCAGUCCUGUCUGCACCUGGGUUUAGUGUUUGUAACUUUCUACUGUUUUCUUUUGCACUUAUUGGCAAAAACCUGGUGAAAUCUGUGUUCUGGAGGGCUGCAUAUAUAGCCUUUUACAACCUUAAUUUGUUUAUUCAAACAUCAAUUUUUCAAUUUCAAUUUCUCUUUCAUUCUCCAGCAAGGAUGACACAACAUAAUGAAUUGGGUGAAAUUGAAAUCGAAAUUAAUAAAUCGAGUGAGAGAUGCAGUAGGGCCUAACAGACAUAGCCGACGUCAUUUAAUAUUUGUCCACUCAUAAUUUGCGUCCAAACAAAAUUCUUCAAUAUUUAACUAACAACCUAAUCUGCAAAAUGCCAAUCCAAUAGAUUUAUGUGGCCACAAUUAGGAAGGCAGGGAUGAUUAUAAUCCAAAAGAACUUAUAAUAAACCAAAUUAAAAUAUUGAACAACAGUGAAUAAGAACAAAAGAGUUAACAUUCCAGCCGCAAUUCUACUUUCAUGCAAAUCCAAUCAACACGUAUCCUACAUGGAACCAACCAGAAACAACCCCAAAAAAACCCAGAAAAAUCAAUGAUCUUUAAACCAAAUAAAACAAGAAAAAAAAUUACUUCAAAUGAUGAUGAUAAGCAUAUGAGCUUCAUGCUUCUUAUGAUUAGUGAGAGCUCAGAUGCUUCAAAAAAAAAGGUGACAGAAACGAAGUUAAAAAAGAAUGAUUUGGACGUUGAAGUACCAAAAUCUACGUGGGGUUUUAGCAAAGUUCAAGGUUAUAAAGACAAGAAGAAAUGCAAAACAUCAAGACAAAGAAACGAACCUGGAAUCAAAUAUGGGUUGAGAAAAAUGACAUGAAAUGAUAUUACAGCCUAAGAUAGAAGAAAGGUUGGAGGAGAAAUGCAGAGGAGGAUUUAAGGAUGCACGCUCCUUCGCCAUUGAUCACCUAGGAUUACGCUCAAUAUGCUUAUAUAUACAUGGCUGCACAAUAAUACGUCGACACCUACUGUUGGUUGUUUUGUCAUUGUACAGGCAUAUCUGGUGCUGUAAGCACAUACCUAAAUAUGUUGUCGUCCACUCCCCAAUUAUAUGGAGGACUCUAGAGGAUUUUCUUUUCUUUUCUUUUUUUUUUUUUGGGUGGGAGGGAAAAAUAUAGGGAAGGAAAAAGCAUGAUUGGUUCGUGCUAAGAUGAAUGAUUGGAUAGGACCCGUUUACCAUGUAUUUGUGUGAGUGUGUAUAUACGUGGUUUUUUCAUCAUCAACUUUUGUUGUACAAAAGUAGAAAUGGAAAGUAUGAGCACAGCGGCCAUGUUGUACAAAUAGGAAGGUUCUCACCUUCCUGGCAAGAAGACAAUUUGUUAGGGGACCAUUCUUGAAAAUUCUAUCAAAAUUGAUGUUGUGCUGAAAAGGCAAAUUAGAUUGAUAAACAACAAACUUUGACUCAAUUUUGUCGGAUUAAGGGAAUUGUACCUGGAUUUGAAGGAAUAGUUGGACAAUUUGUUAUGAGAAGGAACCGACGAGUGAAGAUUUAUUUGAUCAUAUGAGUUGCCUUUUAUCAACUUCCACGUUUCCAUAUAGAUAGGUGGAGCUGGGAAACUUAUUUGGAGGAGAAAACUUUACAAUCACAAAGUGCUCGUACUAUAAUGUUCCAAGAAUUUUGCGGGGACAAAAUACGAAUAUUUUUCAAAUGUUUAAGGGGUCAAAAUAAAAUUUCUUGUCUUAUCAGGGUGGAUUGGCAUGUUCUUCAAGUACGGCUCCAUAGCACGACUUUGAGCAGUUCUUCUCGAACACCUCUAGUUGGAUUAGCGGAAAACUUUCCAAUGGCAUGCAUCACAAUUUUUAUUUUUAUUUUUAUUUUUGGAGUAUACGGCAAAUUGAUUACUAAGGUAGGAUUUGGAAAUAAAAAAAAAUGCUUGAGGAAGGUGAUUGUUUAUAAUUCUUGUCUGUUGAUAAGGGAUUGGCACAUGUUUUCUCUACAAUUAUUGUUGAAGGCUGGCAAGAAUAGCAGAACAGUUUGCCUUUUAAUUUCAGAACGUGUUUUUGAUAGUAAUAUUUAUGGACCAGCCGGGUCUUAUGUGGGGGCGUGGGAUACAUCCCACAUAUGUUCAAUUUGGAAUUGUUAGAAUAUGAUAAUUACGUCUUUGAUUGCCAACUCGUCAUCUACUAAGCUUUAACUGUCCAAUAAAAAGAACCCAGUCAGCAAUUUCUGCAGUAUGUGAAUAGGAAGAAGAAGUAUCCCAAAUUGCAUCUUACGCCAGCCACUUGUCAUUUUCUAUCCCACUUUAGUCUCAAGCCAAGCCAACCAGCUGUGCCUAUUUGGUUCUUGCUCUCGUUAUGAUUUAGACUCAUCUCAAUUGGUAUUACACUAAAUCAACUCGUCUUGCAGAAUUUGGCCACCAGAUAAAAUCAUAUGUUGCUUUUUUUUUUUUUCCCUGGUCUGGUGGAGGAGUAUUCUGGAAUCACCCAAACUAAUCCCGCAAACUGCCCCAAAGAUAAAAUCAUAUGUUACUUACGGUUAUAAUAAUAUGCCGCUUGCUCUAAGAUCUAGAGGGUGUCUAUAAUUUUUUUACCACUCUGAUCUAAAAGUGGGUUUUAGAAGGAAAAGUGCAAAUAUUGCCGUGAAAGAUUUUGAAGCCUCCGAAAACCUUCAUCAUGCUAUGAAAAGUGACAGAAUCAACAAUUGCAUACCAUUCGGAAUUAUUGAGGCUUUUAAGUUGCUGGAAAGGGGUUUUGUGUGAUUUUGUGACGAAUGAUUUUGAAGACACAGAAGAUCUUAAUCAUGAAAGUCAAAGAAAUACUAAGGUGGCGUUUGGUUCGCAUGUUGGAAUCAGAUUCGGAUUCGGAAUCAUUCAUCCUGGAUUUGGAAUCAACUCGUCUUGCAGAAUUUGGUCACCAGAUAAAAUCAUAUGUUGCUUUUUUUUUUUCCCUUGGUGGAGGAGUAUUCUGGAAUCACCCAAAUUAAUCCCGCAAACUGCCCCAAAGAUAAAAUCAUAUGUUACUUACGGUUAUAAUAAUAUGCCGCUUGCCCUAAGAUCCAGAGGGUGUCUAUAAUUUUUUUACCACUCUGAUCUAAAAGUGGGUUUUAGAAGGAAAAGUGCAAAUAUUGCCGUGAAAGAUUUUGAAGUCUCCGAAAACCUUCAUCAUGCCAUGAAAAGACAGAGAGUCAACAAUUGCAUACCAUUCGGAAUUAUUGAGGGCUGGAAAGGGAUUUUGUGUGACGAAUGAUUUUGAAGACACAGAAGAUCUUAAUCAUCAUGAAAGUCAAAGAAAUACACUACUAAUCUGUUAUAAUGAUGGUUCACGUUGAUUGAUCAUGGAAUUCCUGCUACUGCCAAGUGCCAAUACCGGAUUUUCCGAAACAUAUAGAGAAUAUCUCCAAGAAACUUGGAAAAUGAUUCUUGGGGUAGCCACCGAAUUUCGAGUGAAAGAAUCAGCCAAAUUAGCUAGGCACGUUCAAAGGCAGAUUUCAUGACAAUUCCGGGUAAGGAAGCAUGGUAAAAAAAAUCAACCUGUCUUUUCUGGGAUAAAUUAAAUUCGCAAUAGGACGGUGCAUCGUAUAUAGAGUAUAUAUAUAUAUAUAUAUAUAUUUUUUUUUUUUCAUUUUUCAAAACACAAGCAAGCCAGGGCAUGAAAAUACAUUCCUGUCUUUUCAGGGAUAAAUUAAAUUCGCAAUAGGACGGAUGUGAUCCUUAGUUGUCAUGUCGGAGUUCGAUUACGUCCUUUCAUCAACUACAAGGAGGAGCCGCUGGCGCUUGAAGUUCCUAUUGGUGAUGAAAUGGAAUCCCCGUUCUGAAUGAUUAUUCUUUUGACUAUGAUGUCGCUUCCACCUCUCUCUUUUUUUUUCCACAAUUCAAACUUCUCAGCUUUGGAGAAAAUGUGGAGAGCAAAGACGAGUGGCCCAAUAGAUUCUACAAAAAAGAGAAAAUGUAUGAACCACAGAAAAAGGUGGCAAAAAGAAAAGGUCUGCACUCUCAAGCAUGAUAAAAGAAUUUAGGGCUUUUGGCAAAAAAGUAUUUUUGAGAUAUUUGAUGAACAUCAUUUCAUAAAAUUAAAAGUGGAGUUUUUGAUGUUAAAAGUAUUUUUAACAAAAGUUUAAAUUUGAUGUUUUUAGAAUAAUUUUUAUAUUUUAGAAAAAAUUAAACAUUAAAUUUAUUCAUUUUAUCCUAUGUUGUGAACUAAAUAAAAAGAUAAAUAUAUUUCAAAAAAAAUUCAAAUUACACAUGAUUCAAUACACUAAGGGCCCAUUUGAGACUGUCGUAACUUAUUAAAAAAUAUUUCACCAAUCGAGCUUUUAAUAAAAAUAUUUAUUAAGUGUGUAAGUGCCUUUAAAUAUAUUGUUUGGAUAUAUAAUUCAAUAAUUACUUAUUGUAUUAGACAAUGUGUAAUUCGAAAGUUUUUAAAUGUAUUUAUCUCUUUAUUUAAUUUAUAAUAUAGGAUAAAAUAAUUAAAUUUAAUAUUUUAUUUUUUUAAAUCACAAAAUCUAUUUUAAAAGCACCAAAUUUUAUGAGUUGAUCCUCGUCAAACGCCUCAAAAUACUUUUAGCUUUGGCCCUUGGACCGCAAAAGUUGUACUAGCCUUGCCCCUUGGGUUCAUUAAAGCGAUACAUUUUGCCUCUGAGAUUCAGAAUUACGAAAUUACCACAGGAGACUCACCCGGAAGCCUUAAGCACAACCAUCUAAAGUCUAAACUAUGAAGAGGAAACCCGGUUUGGAAUAAAGCUUGCAGUUGCUUUGUGCUUUUUCAAUGGUUAAUAUUAUUAUUAUAUCCAUACUCAUUUUAAUUUUUUUUUUACAUUUUCUACUGUAUAUGCUUUUGAAUUGACUUAAAAAUUAUUAAAAUAAAGUUUAAAAAAAAAAGGAAAAAAAAACUAAGGUUCAUAGUGCCAUUAUCAUCAUCACCAUAGUUAUUAGCACUUGACAAUUUGUUUGGAUUGUGAAUUAUUAGAGAUAUUUUUACUGUAGCACUUUUUGUGAUGUGAUGUGUGUGAGAUAAAAAGGUAAUUGGGAAGAUAAAAAGGUGCAUUGGAAAUUGUAAUGAUGAUGUAAGCAAAUAUAUUUUGACAAAUAAACCGCAAUCCAAACAAUUUGCUGAGAAUUCUGCGCUAACUCAGUUAUAUUUUCACAUGCUACAAGCAAAGAAUUAGCAAGCUUGCCUCCGACAAUCAUGUGUUGUCAUUCUUUAAUUUAUCUGUAAAUGAAAAGUAGUACCCAAAAAUCAUUUUCUGUAAAAAGAAAACUUAUUAUAUUUUCUGUGAACACAUUUUUAAUUACUUUUUUUUUGUCUCAUAUACAUCAAUUCAUUACGGCACAUUUAUUACAAAAAGCCUUAAAAAUAGCAAUUGUGGAAUCAAAUAAUAAAAUACCCACUCCCCCUCCCCCAAAAAACACAAAAAAAAAAAAAAUGUAGGCUAGACCUCUUCCUUUUUCUGACCCUGAGUGUAGUUAAUAUGCACAUGGAGAACUGUUGUAUCAUGAUCUCCCAAAAUCAUUGCCGACCAAAACUUGAUGUGAUUCAUCCUAAGUAUUAUUUAGAGGAGCUCCAAUCAUCAGUGACUCACUCGAUUAUCAUGAUUUGUGUGGCCAAUUAAGGGAAAACCAUUGUGGCUUCUUUUUUCCUCGUCAACCUUCCAACUUGGUUUGUAAUUCGAUACACUGAAUACUAGCUAGGGGUCAAUUGCUUGAUCACGCCAUUUAGGAAUCCAAAUUCAAUCAGCAUUACAACAUGUUUCACGUUCAUAUCAUUGUUUUGAAUCCGUCCAUAAUUUAUCAAGGAGACUUUAAUCUAAUGAUGAUUAAGAUCGAGAUUUCAAAAUUUAAAAGUUUUGGAUACAAAUCACUUUUACCCCUCUCCACGUCGUGAUCCUCUAUUUGAUGCGUGCAUCCACCUAAGAUUUACUGAAUUUCUUUUAUUCCGGUCAAAUCACCUAUUAUGCGUCUUUUUCAAUCAUUUUUUAAAAAAAAAACUUUUUUCACGGCCUAUCUUCUAUUACUGCUUUGUUAUGUUACCCAAUAAUUAAUUAAUUAAGGCCGUAGUUUUCUUUCUCUUCUGUCCUUUUUGGCUAAAUAAUUUGGAAGGUAGUUUAACUUGAGGAAGGCUUUAGCGACGCAAGUUGAGAAAUCAUGCGGGCGACGUCAGUUGCGUAGAACCAAGACCACUAGGCCCCACACCCACAGCUUCGUAUAUGCCAAUGUCGUAUUUGCAACUUGCAAUCAGCUUGCGUGCGCAGACUCGCCGCUGCACCAUUUUACUACAACUAAUAAAAAAACUCAGUCAAGUUGAAGCACAUCCAAUCUUCUUCUCUCCUUCCUUUUUUUGGUAUUUUUAUUGACGAGUACCUGUUUGGAAAGUAAUUUUUCAAAGAAAAAUUAUUACAUUUUUUAAUAAAUAUAUUUUUAAUUAUUUUUUUACAUAACAUAUAUCAAAUUGUUACAGUAAUUUUUUUUAUAAAAAAUUUAAAAAAAUGCAAUCCAAUACAAGAUCCUUUUUUGCUGCUGUUGUUUUAAAUUGGGUGGGAACCUUUCUUUUUUUUUUUUAGCUUAACGGCACAUCUAGUCUAGCUUAGCCUACUCCUACUCCUAAGGGGAGGGGAAGCCUACUCUAUGGGGUGGCCCAACUAAGCUGGGGGGAACCUGAUGGGGACUGAACCACCAUCAGGCCAGACGGAUGCACCACACACCCGUAUGAAUUUAGAACAAACCUCAUUUUGAGGGACAUUGAUGGGAGGCAAGGUUUGAACCCUUGACCUCCGGGUGGAAACCUUUAAGGCAAUAAAAUUGGUUCGCAUGCAACACUCACAAUAAUUGGCUAUGCAUUGAAGAACGAGCUCGCCGGUGUUAUUGCAAAUUUGUAUACCGCAGAAAUUUUUUUUUGUUAAAAUAUUAAAAUUAUCAUCCUAGGGUCAAAUCAAACAUCAUUUAUUGCAAAUUGACUUGAGCGGAAUAGAUCGUCACCAUGUUUUGUUUUGUUGUUCCAUUAUAUUUAGCAAACAAAUUAGUCACUUUUCAAAAGUCACACAACACAACUAUUAAUAAUCACCUUUCUCAAUCACUGCAGUUGCGUUUUUUGGGGUAUUUUAGAAUUUUUUAAAAUUAUUUUUGGUGUGUUUUUAGACAUUUCUGGGGUAUAUUAGGAUAUUUUUAGCAUUUUUCUUAUACAUACAUAUAUAUAUUACUAUGUAUUCCAAAAGGAUAAUCAUUUGAAUUACAUAACAAGAUGUAUUACCUUGUACGAUGUCCCAUUUGGAUUGGUUAUUUUUUUAAAAAUAAGUUUUUUAAAUAUAAUGUUACAGUAAUACACGAAUAAAAAUAGCUCAAAAAACAUCUCAUUCAUACAAUAUAUCAAAUUUUUUAAAAAAAUAUUUAGAAUAAAAGUUUUUCAUAUACACUGCUACAGUAUUUUUUUUCAAAAAUAGCUAAUCCAAACGGAGUGUGAAAAACAGCUGAUUUUUCUGUCUCUUCAUUUCGUACCAAUGCUCGUUCCAAAAAUGUGUUCUGUUAAGAUGUUCCGUUACCUCCCCAUGAAUGAUGUAGUCUGCUGCUCAUAAUAGUCAACAGAAACAUAUAAUCUAGCCUUCGGCGGUCUUUUGUGGACCGUUACAUUACUCCUCCGUUUGCUUUAAAGUCCAGACCCAGAAACUUCAUCCGAGUUGGUUUGGUUAAGCCCUUUGAUUGGAAAGAACUAAUUCAAUGCCGUUCAGCCAAGCAACUGUAGUGUUGGUGUUAUCAACCGACCCACACAUGACAGUGGCAUCUAUCUGCAGAUGUAUAGUAUUGUCAUUGGUCACGAAAGGAAUAAAAAAAAAAAAAGAGGAAAUUUUGGCACCACAAUUUUAGCUUUUAAAAAUAUACGAUUCUGAGUUUUUUUUUUUAUUUUUAUUUUUGAAAUCCUAUUCUAUUACAUGGGACAUGAUUAUUAGAGUCUCUGGCGGAUUAAUCACGAUACCAACAAAAACGCGUUCAUUUCAGAUCCACGUCUUGUGAUGUAUACACAUUUCAGUAUUUCAAUUUUCAACCUUACAUCAUCAAACUCGCCCAUAACCUAAGGUUCCCUUUCCCGGAAUACUGAUAAUUAAUUGUCACUAGUCUGGCUUAACUUGGUCGGCUGGCCAACUUUGGCGUGGGCUGGCUUCGUCUAGGGGAGUUUUAAUGUGAACGAUACAGGGAAGAAAAAGAAAAGUUUUCUAUUGCGUUUGACGCGUCAAAUUUGAAAAGAAUUUGAAUUGAGCUGUUUUUGAAGAAUAUCCGAUUUAAAUUAGACCCGCAAUUUCAAGCAUAUAUCUCUUGAAUUGGCUAAGAUGGUAAAAUUGAUGUCAUACCUUCCUAUCAAUCCGAGUACAAACUUCUCCUAGGACAUCUGUCCGUCGCAUAGGGCUUGUUUAGUGAAUCUUACCCUUUGUAUGGUUGGCAGACUAUUGUACAGGAUAGGGUUUAUUCAGUGCGUAUUCUCAAAUAGCGGUUGCGAGUUUUCUUAUCAAUAAGCAAAAAAAUAAAGUAUGAAUACAUAUCUCUUAAUCUCAAAUUGAAUUUGAAUUUGAAUUUUUUUUACGUAUGUGACAUAUAUUCAUACCUCUUAUUUUAUUUAUUAUUAGUGUGUAUAAGAUCAAUUUUAUUAUAUCUUUACUUGAAUAGUUUUUUUUUCUGGGGUUCCCCUAAGGUUUGUACAUUUUGAAGCCACAAAAAAAAAAAAAGAAAAAAAGAAACGUCCCACUGAAAAGUGGAAGUGGGCCUUAAGGACAUGGGACAUGACGUAUCAAGAAAUACAUGCGAACUGGUUAUAAUUGAGAUGUGUCGUUUUCAAAAGAGGAAAACUUCAGAUUGGGCUAGUUUUGAACUUGCAUACACAUGGUUGGAUUUAUGUCAUUGAUGGUUCCAGUUGCCAAGCAUCCGCAACGAAACACUGUCCACGUUGUCCAAAAACAUUGGCCCAUGAAGGUGAUAUGUUGCGAACCCAUCGUCACAUUUACUUCCCGUAUAAUAAAGAGUGAUUAGGCCCAUAGCAUUGAUUUUCCUGAUAGCCCAUCGACACGUCCCAUUGUACUUGCCGCAUGAUACGUUAGUGAUUAGGCCAUGGAAACAAGCGUUUGGGUUCUUCAUGACCUUGCAGUUCCAGCUCCACACUUGGAUACCAACCCUUCAGCCUGCUGGUCGCCGUCAAGCGUUUAAGUCUUGAUAGCGUUGGGCGCCUCCCAUCAAAUUGUCACUAUAUAUAACUGUUUUCAGUGGCUUUAUCCGAUGAAAUUUCUACUCCCUAUAUAUAACUGUCUUCAGUGGCUUUAUCCGAUGAAAUUUCUACUCCCAUCAACUCUUCUUCCCCUUAGAUUAACAUAGAUUAGGUUAUAAGAAUGUUACCAUUGCGACAAAAAAAAAAGAAAAAAGAAAAAAGAAAAAAGCUCCAGACUUGGACAACUAGCACGUAAAUGCAUCUCUUAAUCCAUUUUCACGAUUCUUAUGCCAUAAUACCACUUCUCCCCAAAUCAUAUGGCUUGAGCCGUUGUCCCGUUGGCUCAGCCACAAACAGUUUUUUAGCCCUUUGAUCAUCGAGUUCUAAUGAUCGUCUAUUUGAAAGCCAAUUCUCAAUCUUGGGGGGAAUGCUUGAGAAGGCUUUUGUCGCUAGAUCAACCCAUGUUUACAACAUCAUUGUAAAACAAACCAACAAAUUGUCAUGAACAAUAUCAUUUUUGCAAAAUCAUGAACAGUCUUGACUAUAGAAUAGCAAGAAAUGUUCCUGUGUGCUAAUGAAUGGUCAUCAUUUUAGACGAAGCAAAUUAUCAAGUAUAAUCCACAUCCAUUUAGAUUCUUUGUAAUGUCUUGGAAUAUCUUUCUUUGACAGGAAACAUCUUGUUGGCCACAGCAACAUCCAACAAUAUCCAAUUCGAUAGUUAGAACACAAAUGCGAGUAACAGAAAGCUAUAGAUAAUGCAAAGUGAUGCUAGCGAGUAGCAUAUGUCAAAUGCAUAGUAUCAUCAUAUGGAAGCUUCGAGUUCGUCUGGGGUUACUGCAGCUCCAUUUGGGGCAUCAUCAGCACGGAGUUGAGAAGAAACUUCAUCUAUUGCAGAGUUCAAUUGUGCAAUUUUCUCCGUCAGUACUUUGCGUGUUUUCUGUCCUCAUCAAGGCAAAAACAGUGAAAAUAUCAGAGAUCAUAACACAAGUAAUUAAAACAAAAAGGAAUCAACCAAGAGUACGGAUACUCAUGUUGAACAAAGCAAUGUUUUUUUCCUUUUCUUUUCUUUUUUAUGAUCCUUUUUCUAUUCCUGAAAACAUUGGACGGUCAAUUUCAGUUCUAAAACCACAAUUCAUAGAACAAAAAUAAUGACCAACAGGUUCAAAUGAGUUUAACUAUUGAUGAAUGAAUGUUCUCCCAGAUGCAAUGAAGGUCGGUAAUGAUGGUAAAGGUUGCUAAAAACCAGUCUCUUUUCCCUCACAAAAUUGUUAAAAACCCGUCACUAGAAUGAUGUUAAAGGUUGGUAAUACCAAAUAAUUCAAUCCAACAAGUUAUAGUAAGCCAAAAUAUAUAGAAUGAGAUAUAAGCUUCUAAAACCAUGUUUAACUUCCACAAUUUUGACAGCAUAAACAAGCAAAUGUGCAAAAGCAGAGACUGCUGCAGAUGCAAAAGUUAGACGACCUAAUAGAGCUACUCAAUUUCACAUAGCAGAUGGCAGCUUUAUGACACUCAUAUCUCGAUUUAGGGGAGAUAGAGAAUGGAGAGAAAGGAUGCAUCAAGAGGGCAUAUCAUAUGGCAGGAUUCGAUGGAUAGCUUUCAGUAUAUAACCCAAUUCACCCCUGCAUAACCACAACCCUCAUCACAUACAAAAUGGCAGCCAAAGAUCCUAUGAGUCACCAGAAAAGUUAGUUAUGAAUUACAUCAAAGAACAAAUCCCUACCUCCAGAGCUUUCUCCUCAUCAUAUAUGAACUUUGGAAGCUUUCUCAUUAGAUCUUUCCUGUCAGCUCCUGCAAGUGCCUUGCUUAUCUAGAAGAUGACUACAAUGUUAAAUGUUAUCAAAACGAACAUGGUGCCGCAAAUGACAACCUAUAAAUAAUAGCAGACAGAUUACUCUUGCUAAUAGGACGUCUGAACAGUAUGCUUACAGCUUUAACGUUUAAACAGCUACGAAAUAAUUGAUUUUAUUCUGCCAAACACUGAUAUACUGGUUCCCUUGCCUCCAGAAACAGAUGAAGAAUCUUCUUGGUAUUUUCUUUUCUUCCCAUACUGCAAUUUUAUUUUUUUGAGGGCGGGGGGUAAGGAAGGGGGGAGAGGGGUGGAGUUGGUUGUUAAGUAGGGAUCUUCAUGGAAAUUUACUAAAACUCCUACUCUUUGGGACUUCUGAACUUAAAGAUUUUGGAUGGGCUAAGGAUUAUGUUGCAUUUUCUUAAGAUCUCAGAGCAAUCCAGUAUACAAGACAGAAGACUUCAAAAGAAGUAUCAGUGCUCUAAAUUCUGAGCCAACCUUAAUUGACAUGUAAGUAAGUUGUCUUCCAUCAUUACCUGAGGUGCAUAAAUGCAUCCUAAUGCCCCAACAACUAUUCCUCCCAAAACAAAACCACCGACAAAGAUACUGGCACUACCUGGCCUUCCACCAUCUCCACUGCAUAGUAAGAAUGGGUAUUUUACAGAGGGAAUAAAAUUUGGUCAAGCAAAGAAAAAUCAUAAAGGAAAAAAAUCCAUUUUCAUAUAGUUAGAUCAUGGAUGCUAACAUAUCAUACUUAUAAACUCGCUUUGUAUUCUUGACUCAUCUCUCUAUCUGUGCAAUCUACCCUAACAACUUCUCUUUUUCAAGUCUUUGGACAUCAGAAGAGGUACUGAUACGUACUAGGUACUGAUGUGUACGAUAGACUUACAUUUAUAGGCUUACUCUGCAGAUCACAGUAAAUUACAUCUCUCCCUAGAUGCAUAUUUAGUUCCUUUUACAUUUUUACUCAGCAGAAUAGGAUCCACAUAUUUCACUUAAUUCCAAUAUCAUCAAAUCAUAUAUCAAAAAGCCACCUUAGAAUUAACUUUGUUUCAUCAGUUAUCAGAGUACCACAUACCAGUAUGUGCAGCAGAAAUUUUCAUCUAUAAUACCUUCAGCAAAUAAAGAAUUCAAGGUCAAUCUUUAUGUCGACAGGAAGGAAAAUUUUGAUACCCCAAGUUGCAUUUCUCUAUUGAAUGUAAAUGCCGAAUAAGCCACAUCAGGUUACUCUACUCCCCACCAUGAGCAUUAGUACCCCAGAUUUUCUCCCAAACAGCAGAAUCCCAGAGAUAUUUGGAGCAAACACAAGCAGUACAAGGCAGAACAUGGACUACCAAAAAAGACAAUGGACAUCAAUACCUAGCUUGCACUGUCAGUGACCUCCUGCAUUUCAAUGGUUUCAGAUUGCUUUGUGAAGCAGGGAUGCAGAGCACAUUAUUGGAACUCAGAAAAUGGUCCGUUUGCAAAGAAGUCCCUAGCACCAUAGACACAAUUAGACAUAGUUUUCAAGCAAAACUAAAUCACCUCCAGCUAUUUAAAAGACUAUUGAUUUGCAGUACGCCAACAUCAGUUAAUUUUUUUAGGUAAUUGACUAUCUGUAGGCAACUUUAUGCUGUAAGCCUUGUUAUUGAGUCAGAAGCUUGCUAAAGUAACAUGCUAAAAAAUAUUAAAAUUCACAGGGCCAAGUUAACUCCUUGUACAAUGGAAAGAGUUAUAAAAUUUUGUAGUCAUAGCUUGUUGUACAAGUAAUGUAGACCUCUUCUGCCAAAAUAAUAAGUUGGUUUCCUUCAAACAGCUCAGCAUUCGAAUGACAUCGAGACUAAAUAGAGAGCAAAUGUAUGUACACUAAAGCAUGAUAUCUCCGUGAUAAUAACCUGGAAAGCUCUAAGCCCUGAAAGUUGUUAGCACUCGUGUUCACAUUUCAUCUACAGCAUGUUUUGAUUGUGUUCCUAAUCCACCUUCAGAAUUAACAUUAUCCUUGAUCAUCUUUCUGAAUAAACAACAACAUUUUGUUUUUCUUGAAUACUUAAAUCCACAUCACUGUAAACAUCACAGACAUCAUCUUAUUUCCUAAAUACCUUCUUGAGUUACAAUCGUCAAUAGACGAGUGAGGUAAAUAAUGUCUAAAUUGAAAAACAAUGUAAGAGCUAGUUUAAGUAUGAUCCCUGAUCUACAGGAUAUUGAGUUUUGAUGAGGGACAAGAGGGUUAUACUUAUAGCCUCUAAUUACUCGGCCUAGCUGGAUUUGAACCAGCACAGACCUACGACAAAGAAUUUUACAGUCGGUUCCCACUACCGCUGCCUUUUCAAAGUUCAAACUACUGUAUCAUAUAUUAAGUAAUUCAAGCUCCUUUUCUGAUGCGGGACUACAAGAAAUUGGAUAACUAUAUUUACAAAAUUCAGGAGAUAUACCUUUAAAUAUGUAGUUACCUAGGAAUGACCCUUUCUACAGCAAAACACAAAUCCCAAAGUUAAAUCAGAAGUUAGGCUCAAAAACUCAAUAUUCAGAGUGGAACUAAAAUAAAUUCCGACAGGAACAUAAAAACAUUAUCAUACACACAUAUAUUAAGCUAGAAAGAAUCUAUCUUCAGAAGCUUAUAGACGUGAAUCAACAUGCAAGAUUUAAACAAGCUAAGACUAACAUUACAUAAUUCAAAAAAGAUGGACGCCAUAAAAUCUUGAAUGAAAACCGAUAAAUUGGAGAGAGUUUUUACCAGUUAAGAAAUGGGUCCGAGGGUGUUUGACAGAAACUAUCGAGUUUGCGAGGGAAUUCAUUUUUCAGAAUUUUUAGGUAGGGAAAAUCGGAGCUAUUUUUAGCUGAUGAGUGAGUGAAAACUGGAAAGGGUGGUCUACUUUGGUCGGAGAUAUUCCAGUACUAAUACUUCAGAAGUUAUCGAACUAAUAUUUUAUCUUUUUUCUUUGAUUGUUAAGAUUAUUUCUUGUCGAUGAAAUUGGAGUACGUAAGCACCACGUGGUAGCAUAUCGAAUUAAGAGACCAGUGGACGAAAAUAAAAAUUUUAUAUGGGCUGAUAAUUAGGUCAGGAAGGGUAUUCUAGGUACAUGCAACAUGGGCUUUUAUAGCCAUCUUGUAUAUGGAUUUUUUCCGAUUUUCUGCAUCAGAUGAGCCCAAAAUAAAAUUUCCAACCAAUACACGAAUUAAAUUGUAAACCACCGGAUUUCGGCGGGAGUGCCAAUUAGGCUUUCUGAGUUGGAUUUUAACAAGUUCAAAUUCGGCUCAUUAAUUAUAUGAUUUUUAAGCUAAAAAGUUCAAGUUUAACUCACAUUAUUAUAUGAGUUUUAGAUUCAAAUCGGGAUUGACCAAAUCUCAUAAUUAUAUAUUUUUUUAUAGUGUUAGUCGAAGGAUUUGAAUUCGGAACCUCUCACUUGCAUUCCUUUUCUCCAAACCAUCAAGUCCAUCCUCCAACAUAAUUAUAUAUAACAUAUAUAUUUUUAUAAUUAUGAAUUACUAUAAAUUCAUAUAUAAAUUAAUUUUACAUUAUAGAUAUUAUAAUAUAUAUAUAAUUAUACUCAUAUAGGCGUGGGGUCUAAAUUGGACCUAUCUUAACAUGACCCAAGUUCAACUCACAUUUAGUUUGGGCUUAAUAUAUGAGUCGAACUCGAGUUGAUCUGACCUUAUUGACAGCCCUAGGUUUAGGCUUAGGCUUCAUGAUUAAAGUUAACUUUCCUCCUUCAGUUUUGCAUUUGUUCCAUAUAGCUAUCUCAAUUAUCAAUUGCUACAAUUGCCCCUUUAGAUGACUAUCUAAUUAGGGCAACUAAGCUAUAAUUAAAGCAAGUUAGGGCAUAGAGUUGAUCUAGAUGGGAUUAAAUAGAUGAUUGCACCAAAAAAAUGUACUCAAGAUAGAUUACAAAUUUAGUGUCAUUUUAUUUUUGAUAAGUAACAUAAGAACUUUGAACAGAUAUGGCUGAUAUAGGGCAGUAGAGGUAUGCUUUUGUUUGGUAUUUUGAUUCUUUGUAGAGGAACUGAUGUAAUUCUUUGUAGAAAUUUGGAGGGUACUUGCAGGAGGCCUAACCUUCAAUCGGCAGCAUAAAUUAGCAACAAAUGACUACAAGUCAUUGACUGAAGUUCUGUGCAGUUGGAUUUUAUAUCAUAGACUGAAAACAAAAGAAUAAACUCGUUUGUUUGAUUCCAACUAUUAUUGGUUAAUAACUUGAUACUAGCUAGUACUUUUAGAGGGACCGAAUUAAUAUAAAUCAUGGCCGGGACAGAACGAGUAGCAACAAGCAACGUCGAUAUGGACCAAGUAAUCAAAUUAGGUAGUAUAAGAAGACGAAAAUAACGCGUUCAUGAAGCACUAACUAAACUCACCCUUUGAAUUUAAUUACUGUUAAACUUGCACGGACACGUAAUUAAGUCAUUGAUUUGGUCAAUCCUGUCAAGCAUCACAGAGAUCAGUGUAUCUAAAAUCCUGCUGCAGUUUGUCGUUUGGAAUUCCAGUCUUAGAAAUUUAUCAGGCAAGGACAAAAUCAGAAUUAUACUUACACUAGAAUAAAAUUAAAGAUUUCCUUCAUUUCGAAAAAUUAUUAGUAAUUUUCCAUCACUACUGCACCAGUGAUGCAUGUUUGGUUCUCCUAGCAUUUACUCUCUAGUGAGUUGUCAGGUCUUAGCAGAUUAAUUUACAUGCAUUUUUAGCUAAUUGAGGACGUCCGACCACAUAUCAUAUAAUCUACCGGGCUUGUUUUGUUGUGGCUCUCUACACUUUUUUAAACUGUUGGUGUAAUCGGCCGGCAGCUUGACAAUGCAUGAUUAAGUCAAUUUGACGUCUCUUGAUAUGGCGAUAAAAUUGGACUUGACCAUUAAUUUCUUGCUCAGUAUUAACACAGCAAGAAUUCUCCUGCCAGACAAAUUGGUUCAAGUAGAGCUGGUCUGUUGUAGCAAUGGCUGGUGGCGCUGGUGACAGGUCAUUGAAGGAGACUCCCACUUGGGCAGUUGCUGCUGUUUGUGCUGUUUUUGUUAUCAUUUCGGUUCUUAUUGAGCACGGAAUUCAUUCUCUUGCAAAGGUAAUAAUUAAUCACCUUUGAUUAGUCCAGGCACAUUUCCCUCUACUGCAACAUUGUGUCUUGGAGUUCAGUUAACAACUUUGAUUGAUUUUAUGUACAACUUUCAGUGGUUUCAGAAAAGCCAGAAAAAGGCGCUGCUCGAGGCACUGGAGAAAAUUAAAGCCGGUAGCAUUAGCCUUGAUCACCUUUGUUUUGUCAUAAUCAGAAGAUUUGAUAACGGAGUUUUUUCUUUGCGCUAAUUGAUGUUUUUUUGUUUAUUAAUUUUGCUUGCAUAUGGGGUGCAAAUUUGUAGAGUUGAUGCUCCUGGGAUUCAUAUCCCUGCUGAUCACUGUUGGCCAGAAACCAAUCAGCAAAAUCUGCAUUUCUAAAGGAGCUGGAGACACUAUGCUUCCAUGUAAGAAAGUAUUGGACGAAGAGGCUGCUGACACUGGAAAGGAUAAAAAUGACAGCGAUCGGAGAAAGCUACUUUGGUAUGCUGGAGAUGCACUGGCACGCCGAGUUCUUGCUGCAGCAGAUGGAGAUGAUACCGAUCAUUGUUCUAAAUAUGUAAGUCGGCUAAGAUACUUUAUCGACAAAAUGUUUAUCAGUCAGAAUUUACUUAAUGAACCAUGUAUCUUGGGGAUGCCAGAAGAAAGUUCCGUUGAUAUCUCAAUCAGGGAUUCAUCAAUUACACAUCUUCAUAUUUGUGCUCGCGGUUUUUCAUGUUCUCUAUAGUGUCCUCACAAUUGUUCUAGCACGAGCAAAAGUAAGUCCUGAAAUCUCAGAUUCUGAUAAUUAGUGGUUUUUCCUUGAUUUUGGAAGGAGGGCUAUCGAUUGACAGAACUGCAUUGACUAUACAGGUGAAGAAAUGGAAAUCGUGGGAACAAGAAACAGCUUCCUUGAACUAUCAGUUGACAAAUGGUACAUUACACUCGCUUCUAGACUCCUGUUUUUCGCUAUGAAAAAUUACUGACCGUAAUGUUCUUGUUUCAGAUCCUUCCAGAUUCAGAUUCGUGCAUCAAACAUCUUUCAUUCGCCAAUAUAGUGGAUUCUCCACAAAGCCUGGCAUUCGAUGGAUUGUAAGUUCUAAUAUGUCAUAGAAGUGCAUCACAUAAACCAAAACCUCUGGCCAAAAACAUUUCCUUUUGCUUCAACAAAUCCCCACCUCCCCCCCCCCCCCGGGGGCGGGGGGGAAGCUAAAAUCUCAAUAAGAGAAUCGAAAAGUAUUCCUUCAUUCUCUGAUCAUAUUCUGUAUACUUAGCUAAAUGAUGAUUAACACUUUCUCACCACAUUCUUGUCUAUUUUAACUGUUGGAGGAAAUUUUUACAUUGCAGGCAGCAUUUUUCAGACAAUUCUUUUGUUCCGUGACAAAGACAGACUACUUGACCUUGAGACAUGGUUUUAUAAAUGUACGUGCAUAAUUUCACUUAAUCAGCACCCUUUUGAUUCUGAUGAUUAGGCAAGUGAUUGAGUUCUUAUCCGUAAGUGGGGAGAUUUUGGUUGUUGGUGAUACAAAACUAACAACAGGGCGCACUACUUAGGAAGAAAGAACUCAACAUUCAAAGCCAACAAUCUCUAAUCCCCUUCAUUGGAUUGCAGGCACAUUUUGCUGCAAACAGUAAAUUUGACUUCCACAAGUACAUUAAAAGAUCAAUGGAAGAUGAUUUCAAGGUAGUAGUUGGUAUUAGGUAAGUGUACAUGUCCAUGUUUUCAUGAAGAUACAUAACUCAAUGUUUGUUUCAAGCCUGCUCGAAGGCACGCAAGCUUGUUUUGUCUGUCUGGAGUUUUGGGAUGUUUAUUAUGGACUGACUAGCAAAUAAUCAAUUCUUGACAGCAUACCUCUGUGGACAUUUGCGAUCCUUUUCCUAGCAUUAAAUGUCUAUAGUAAGCGUAUAUCGUAUUCUGGAUCUUGAUUAUGAUUUCCUUGUAUUGUUUAUAAACUAUCAAUCUGUUGAUCAAUUCCAAAUUUACCAUGCAGGAUGGUACUCUCUCUUUGCCAUAUCACUGGUGCCGCCAAUUGUAAGCAUCCAUCUACGAUCUCAAGUAUUUCUUAGUUUUAAUUAGUCGUAUAGAUUCUUCGAACAAAAAUUGCAAGAACAAAAGUAACAAGGAUUUGAUGUAUCAUAUGCUAUACUCGGAACAGAUGCUCGUCAUCAUCGGUGCAAAGCUUCAAAUAAUAAUCAUGGACAUGGCUCUGCACAUUCAAGAUAGAACAACAGUGGUAACAGGAGUUCCAAUUGUGGAGCCUAGUAACAAGUAUUUCUGGUUCAAUCGACCUCACUUCAUUCUUGGAUUGAUUCAUUUUACCUCAUUCGAGGUACUACUUACGACCUAGCAAUAAUCUUGUCAAAAUAUCGUAGAGGGUGGUGAAAAGUUCAGUAACAAAAAACCUCGCUUUGUCAAAUUUUGCAGAAUGCAUUCCAAAUGGCUUACUUUCUGUGGACAUGGGUAAAUCAAUGCUACUCUCGUGGUUACCAUUCGAUUGUAAUAUAUUCAUAUUCAUUAGCUUUUCUUUCAAAUAAUUAACAAUCUGAUCUUGAAUGCAGUAUGAAUUUGGGCUAACUUCAUGCUUCCACGAAAAUUUGCCAGUAAUACUAGCCAAAGUCUUUCUUGGUGUGGCAGUCCAAGUCUUAGGUAGCUAUAUCACCUUUCCUCUCUAUGCCUUGGUAACUCAAGUAAGUUCCCCUCAGCUAUAACUCCAAACCCUGUUGUCAAUUUUCGAUAUCAUAUCCAUAAUCACCGCGCUUCAGUUCGAAAUCAUGCCUUUGAUGGACAUUUCUGAAACUAAUUACUAAAACAUAUUUGAAAGCUUAAAUGCUUGUACUUGUGCUCAAUUCACAGAUGGGAUCUCAUAUGAAGAAGGCAAUCUUUGAAGAGCAGACUGCGAAGGCACUAAUGAAAUGGCAGAAGGCCGCAAAAGAAAGAAGGAAGUUGAGAAAAGCAGAAGGAGAUAUGUCGCCAGAUCUUAUGAGUGGGAAUACUACUCCAUCCAGAGGUUCAUCUCCCAUACAUCUGCUUCAUAAAUACAAAAUGAACUCUGAUAUUGAAAGCAGUAUCAACAAUCCAACUCCUAGACCUUAUCAUUCAGAUGCUGACUAUUCAGAGACUGAAGGACCUGCAUUGAACUCCAGCGAUGAUCAGAAUUCAAGGAAUCAUAACUCACCAAAGAAAGAAAUUGUAGGAAAAGAACCAGAAACUUACAACUGGGAUUUUUCCUUUUCCAAGUCAUAGGCAGAUAAAUGAUCCAGCCAAUCUUCUAAAUUUGUCAAACACCUCUUCCUUAGCUUUGAAUUAUGCAGUGGGGAUUAUAGUAUAAAUGGUACUCCUGAAGUUUAAGACUUUAACCUAAGCCUAGAGAAUCCCCAAUGGUGGACAGGUUUUUUUCGGUUUCUUUUUCACUUCCCUCAUCAAUGUAAACUUCAUUACAUAAACUCAUUUCCCUCAUCAAAUCUGAAAUCUAAUCAUUUAAAGUGAACAUUAUGAAAUUAAAUCUCACAUGAAUCGUUUGUUGAGAUUGUCCACGUAUUGGCUAUACCAGGACCAUGAUCACCAGUUGCUAUACUCCCCCUAUUCAUAUGGCAUAUUUUGGUAUUGACAAUUAGUAAAUUGCUUAGUGCAAUUGGUCUUUCACAAAAAACCGGAUACUGAAUGAUCAUCCCCUCAUCUUUAUUUCAUUUUUGACAAGAAUGAAAAAGCAACUACAAGAUUUUGAGAACAUUAAUGUGUCAAUUUUAGAUUCUUGAACAGAUCAAAAUGGUAGACAUGGUGGGUCGGAGAGCACCUUCAAAACUACUAAGAUUUCAUAUGCAAGACUACAAAAGAAACUCCAAAACUUUGCGGAGUUUUACUUUGGAUUUGACUAAUGGGAGAAAUUUGGGCAAUUUCAUAAGCAAAUUUGAGCUCUCUAUUAUUUUAAUGACCGAGUGGGGUUUAAGUGGGAAGAUAAUCAAGCAUGCAUACAAAUUAGCAAAAAGUAGAGCAAAUGACCAAAAUAGUUCCUCAAUUAUUGUGCUAAAACCAAAAUAGUCCCUGAACUUUAUUCUUAGUCACUUUGGUCCUUCAACUAUUUUUACGUGGCUAAUUUGGUCCCUAUUUGGCUGAAUCACCUAAUUUAUUAACUUUCUGCACUGAUGAUGGGAAAGGGCAAAAUAGGAUAUAUAACCACAACCCUUGUUAAAAUAAUAAUAAAAAAAAACAGAUGCUUGUCAAGAACUCAGGAAUGAAAUUAAAUCAUAUAUCGAGCAAAAAAGUUGGCUUUCUUCAGUGAACCCUAAUGACAAACAAAUUACUAUAAACUACAAACUAAAUUUAUUCAAUGAAAAUUUUAUAUAAAUUUUAUUUGUGUAGAAAAUAAAUUUAUAUAAAAUUAAGUUAUUUUAAUUAUUUUUAAAUGGUAAAUAUAUUAGGUGUGUCCUUAACACUAAUUUAUGUGUAUACAUAUACACUAUGGCAUGACAAUUUGCAUCCCAUGAGGCCUUUAUUAAGCCACUGUUCUAAUAGUAGUAUUAUUAAACAUUUUGGUAGUACUAGUCCUACAAAAUUGGCAUCAAUCAUCAAAAUGACGAAUGGGUUUACCCUAAGAGUAUAAGAAGAAAUGUUCCAUUACUAUGAAAUGUUCAAGCCUUGAUUGUCAAUCUACGCCUGGUGCUUUAGAGCCGAAUCACUUUGGUUGGAGUGCUGACUUUUGUGUUUUGGACCUUGAUAAAAUCAUACAUUUUGAGACCCAAAAAAAUGCACCUGUGUCAACUAAAACCCAACUAGAUUUCUAGUUUGGCCCGUGCAACCGGCUACUAGAAUGUGUUUCACAUUUUGCUGACUUGGGUUCUUACCUUGUCAAAAUAGAAACCCAACCUGGCUUGAAUCGGGCCCAGUCUAAACAAGUUUCUUAAGGGGUGCUUAGGAUAUGCAUUAAGGCCAUUCGAUAAUUUAAUUCAACACUUAAAUUUAACGGAUUCAACUUUUAACAUAUUCAAACAGUUUGAUAAUAAAAAAUUGAACAUCUGAAUGAAUUAAGUGGCACUGAAUUGCCGAGACAAAACUUGCUCCUAAAAUUAAGUAAUAAGCUAUUCACUUAUCACUGAAUGUGACAUGCACUUAAAUGUAUAAGAUUUAAUACUUAAUAAUUUAAUAUCUUAAUGGAUUCAGAUUUCACACUUCAGUUUUAUCAAACGCACUCUAAGUUUUUGGGCUUGCAUCAACAAAUUGUGUUCAUUAUAUGGAAAAUAAAGGAUGCAAAUGUAAUUAUAUUUAUAUUAGAGGGCAUUCUAAGAUCACCAGAAGGUUUUGAAAUUAUUCCAUUAUACUAAUAAACUUGGGUGUCAAAUGGUGGGCUACAGCAUCUAACCAUCCUGUAAAGUUCGUUUAAAGUUGAUUUAACGAGAUUGUAAUCCUGUCAUAUGUUAUCCUUUCAAUAAACUCUUUCACACGUCCGCCGACGUUUUAGCUUAUUUCUGAUCGUUUCAACUCGCAUAGAAUUUUCCUUGCGUGGGGAUUGCAACGAAGAUGUUCCAGUAUGAAAAUGUAUUCGAAGUCGUGAUUAGCAUAAAGAUGAUUUGGAAGAUGCCUUCAUCAGGUUCAUGACUGACUGCAUGUUCUUGAAGCCUUAUCUUAAAAUCACGUCUUUUUGCAGUCCACGUCCAUUAAUGAUUCCUUUGGAAACCCUCGAGUCUUCCAAUCAUCUUUUACUGUAGCGGCACCCUGAAUUGGAAAAUCUGACUCGCAAUUCCACCCAACUGAAAUCGACAAUAUGGCAGAUGUUGGUGGAGGAUUGUUAAACAAUACAACGGUUUCAGUACGAAAAUGUCCAAACAACAGACUUUGGAGGCCUGUAGGCUGUAAUAGGUUAAAAGUUAGGCAAAUUCCAUGAAAUGAAAGAGAAUUGAGUAGUUAUAUAUUUCACAAGAAAUGCACUCGUCGGGAUUAAUACGCUCGGGGGGUCUCACUACGAUAGAAAACAAACAAACAAACAGAUUCGUUCGCCGCCCAUGCAGCAGUGCAAAAGGCAUAAUGAACAAAGAAGAGAAAUAUCUCAAAGUCAUUAUUGUUAAUCGAAAUUUUCACGCACGUUGGAAGUUGUCAAAAAAGAAACAUUUUGGAAUGGAGGAAAUGGCAUUUGAUAGUUGAUGCAUCAAGGAAGGGAGGGAGAAAGAAAUAUCUGGACGGGAUAGAGACGGGAGGUGUGAAAGAUUGAAAGAAGAAGACGUGGUGGCGUGGGUGGAGGGUUCCACACUUCCACUUGUAUCAGAGGCGCACAUGUUUUGGUGGGGCCGAUGGGUUAAAAGCUCAGAGAAGUAAGCGACGACACCAAGUUGUCCAUUUAAGCAAUUUUACCAUUUUGGUCCAAUGUCCUCCUAUAAUUUCUUCUUAAGUUAAAGAGACGCACCCAUUUUUCACAAGUAUAUAGCCUAUAAUAUAUACUACAUAGAUCAUUAGUCUUUUUUUUUCCCGACAAUGAUGACAAUUGUAUAAUCUAUUCUAUUCUAAUCUACAGGAGAGGAGAGUCUGAAGAGGCGUGUACUAAGAGUUAACAGGUAUACAAAUCUGACUAGAUCAAAGAAAUAUUUUAACACCACUUUUGAAUUUUUUUUAUUAUAGAUGAGAUUUGUUCCCCUACCUACAACCAACCAAAGAGCGACUUAAUCAUUAGUUGAUCUUUGAUGGCCUAAAUCAUUAGUCAAUUUCUGUGAUAAUAAGGUUGUUGCAUAAUAUUACAAAACAGCAAGGAUUGUCAAAUCAAAGGAUGCCAGCACGGGAUUAAUUGGAAAAAAACAAACUGUAUGCGCCCGCCGCUGUAUUCGUAUUCAAGUUUUGUUCUUAUUUUCUUCUUCUAAGUUCUAUCUAUCUAGAAUAGAAAAGAAAGAAAAAAAAAAAAAAAAAAGCGCUAUAGAUAGAAGCUAACUUUAUAAGAAUAAGAUUGCUCUUUAAAUUAUUAAAAUUUCUAAAUCUAUCAGUUGUGGAUAUUUUCAUCCCUGAUUUGUAAAUACUUUCUUUCGCGAGUAUUUAACAUCCCAAAUGGUACGGCUAAUAAUGAAUGAGGGAUAUUUCCAACUAUCAAACUUACAGCGUUUCUGAUACUAUUAGAAUCCCAAAAAAAAAAGGUAAAGAAUUUUUUUUCCUUGGGGUAGAAAUAGGUGGAGAUGUGAUGAGCCAUGUUACACUUCUUUUAUUUUUUUAUUUUUCAAAAACGAUAACUAUUGUAUAAUUUAUCUAUUUUAGAUUACAGGAGAGAAGGAGGCUAAACAGACUUUGUGUUAGGAAUUAGUAGAUACACGUAACUUACUAGCCGAACCAUGUUACACAAUUGAGGAUAAUAUACAACUCACGAUGAGAAUGAAUUUCAUGCCGAUGAGUGAUUGUUUUUAGGAUUUUCUUUCUAAAUUUUACUAUAACACUAUAUUAAUAUUAAUAAUAAUAUAAAAUUAAUUUUUCUUACACUGACAGCAUAUACACUAUCGACGUUGGAUAAAAUAACACUUAUAUAAAAUUUAAAUUUAAAAUUUAAUUUUUACACAUAUAUCAAAGAUCCAAUAAUGAUAAUACUCUGUCGAUUUAUAUAAAAUUUACUCUAAUAUAUAACGAAUAAAAAAGUAAAACGCAGCCAAGGUUCAUCUUUCUUUUCUUUUUGGGUUUUGAGAGUUUAUCCUUAAAAUCCAGUUGGGUAUGUGAGCGUCCGCCCGAGUCAACAGGGAGUCGCACCCAGUGCCGACCAUUUUUCUGCUUUUUCUCUCAAACUCCGUCUUACAAAUAUCCCGUAUUACCCACCGCCCACUCCCAGUCCACCAUCAGCACCACUUUAUACAACACAACAUGAACAUAGUCCGUGCAUAAAUAAAUACUCCAUCGGUCCAUCCUUAAAAGCACCUGGCCUGACCAGUCCAACUAUCCAUCUUCAAUUUUCCCUUCUAUUUUUCCCCCUCACAACUUCUCCAAAUAUUUAGCCCAAAAGAAAAGAAGGAAAAAGAAAAAGGUCAAAAAUUAUUCAAUGAGCGAUGACUCGUUCACUCAGAAUUCUGUUAUCCACCGUCACAACUGCCAAUUCGACAGCAACGACGUCGUCCCCUCCAGCUAAACACUCGUCACCAGCGGCCGAGCCACCUCAGUCCGUCGCCGUCGAGUCCGACUUCGUCGUAAUCCUCGCAGCUUUACUCUGCGCUCUAAUCUGCGUGGUAGGCCUCAUCGCCGUAGCUCGCUGCGCCUGGCUCCGCCGUGGAACCUCCGGUAAUGGCCGCGUUCCCGGGCAACGUUCCCCUAACAAAGGACUGAAGAAGAAGAUAGUCCAGUCGCUGCCGAAAUACACUUACGACUCCUCCAGUUCCACCACCGGCGCCGGAAAUGGUAUUGGCGCUGUCACGGGUGAUUGUGCUAUCUGCUUGGCGGAGUACGCCGACGGCGACGAGAUCCGAGUGCUGCCACAGUGCGGCCAUGGAUUCCACGUUCAGUGCAUUGACACGUGGCUAGGUUCGCAUUCGUCGUGCCCGUCGUGCCGGCAGAUCCUCGUCGUUGCUCGUUGCCAGAAGUGUGGCGAGUUCCCGGCGAUGAACGUUUCCGGCGCAGCUCAGGUUCCGACGCCAGCGGAGACUCAAGUCAAGCAAACCAGAUCAGACCGUAGAGCAGCAGCUGCAGCAGUUCCGAGCUCGAGCUAUUUUUUACCCUAAAAGGGUAAAUAUAGGUAAAAUAAAAAUGAAAGAAGAAAAAGAAAAGUGGAAAGCUGUAACGGUGAAAACCGCUUAUCUUGUCUGGUUCGGAUGCAUACAAAUGUACAGAGAUUCGGAUUAGAAAGUACAGUGGAAAAAGUUAGAAACCCGUGACGGAAAGGGCGAUCUGCACGUGACCUUUUUUGGACGCAAACAAAGGGAAGAGCGAGAAAGUGAGAAGCGCAGGUGAACCGGUACCACGUGUUGUAUGGCUGAAGAGGAAAAUGGACACAUUGGCUGAAGCCCUAUGUCCCUCCCAUGUCAUUCUCUACCUAAUCAAUUUGUGGAAGCUAUUAAUUCUCUCUUCCAAUUUUUCUUUCUUUUUUUUUUUUUAGGGUAUUGCCACAUUACUCCUUGUAUCGUUGUUAGCUUACUAGUUUAGCCGCCUUAACUUCUCUUUGUGGCCAUCGAUCUAUCUAAGUGUCUUUUACUGUAUUUAAACAUGUAAUUAAAUAAUAUAUAGUAUAUCCACUUAUCCAGAGCAAAGAUUGGCCGAGUGAUCUAAGCUACAAUUUGUCCCCUAAUAUUAUCAGCAAUGGUAACACCAUUUCCCCCUCUUUUUUUUUUUGUCAAAAAAAAGGACUUGGUCUCACUUCAGAUCCCAACCCUUAUUUGGGUUGUUGGGUUAUUCCCCAAUUUUGUUACAAGGGUCGAACUCUGAUGGAUGCCCUAACUAGGAACUACACCACCAGGUCAGCUACUUUGGAGGGACUAACACCGUUUCCUCCUUGCGGAUUGAUAAAACAAUCCUACCACAAUAUAUCCAAAUACUAUCAAAAUUCUCUAAAAUUAGAAAAAAAUAAAUAAAAAGGAAAAGACAAAAGUGCAGCAUGUAACCGCAUUUGGCGGAUCGAUUGGAUUAGUGCUUAUUAAUAAAGUAACUCCAUUUUGACAAAAAAAGAUAGUAGUAUUACAAGUGUAGUAUUGCCAGCGUAUGAAUUGGUGGUGAAGUUCUUUCUAGUGGCUAUUACACUGACGCAUGUAGUUCUUUUGGAAUGGUGCUUUUUGCUUGGAUCAUAGGAGGAAAAUUUGUGAAAUGAAUCUUUCAAUUAAUUAAGAAAGAAAAGGAUGAGCAUCAUCCUCAACCGACACUAGCCAAGUCUGGGCGUGAGAAUUGAAGGAAAAAAGCCGUUUCAGGUCCUCCCUAAAGGCUGCCUGCAAAGCUCUACAUCAGAAUGGAUAAGGGAUAAGCCUCAUUGCAUUCCGACUCGCAGUUGAAAGAUUUGCUUUUAUUAGUAAAUUAGUCACUCCCUAAAGAAACUGCCAAACUCUUGAGAUUUUUUGUCACUGUAAUGCGUACAGUCCAGAAACGUACGAUGUAAUUUUCGGCUCAGAUAAUUGGACCACUCAGACAGAAAUCGACGGAACUUUCUGGAAAUGAAUAAAGAAGAAAAAUUAGCAUUUACAAACCUAACUAGAUUGUUCUUACCAUUAUUACUGUUCCUGUAGAAUGUCGCUUUGGAAAACAGGGCCUUGUUUGGCAAGCAAGUUUUUUGCCAAGUUUAUUUGCUACAAGUUUUUUAACAACUUUAACUGCACUAAUUUCAAAAAAUUUCUCAAAUUUUUUAAACCAUACACUUCAAAAUAUUUAAAAAUUUGCACAGUUUAAAAAAAUUUUCUACGGCUUCUACAGUAAGUUAUAGUAAAGUUUUAAACAAAAAUCCAAAAAACUCAUUUAUCAAAAAGGGCCCAAAUUAGCAUGCUGCACAGGUUUGAUAUAAUACUGUUAUAUUUGGCAUUAAAACAAAAUCUAGGCAAUUUUCAAUUGUUGGUGGAGAGAAGUAUGACUAAAGAAUCCAAAAACUUUCUUUCUUGUUAUCACAUCAUAAAAAAACUAAAAAAAAAAACUAUUUAGAUUUCACCCUGUGUGCUUGCUUGAUCAUUUACUCGCGGAGAAGGCAAACUCUUGUUUUAAGGCCGUUUUCAAGUUAGGAUUAGGGGAAAAAAAUUGGGUUAAGAAACUCAAAUAGUAAUAGGUUAUCUUUUUUCUUUUCAAAAAAAAAAGUAAUAAUAGGUUAUUACUUAUGAGUUAUGACUGAGGGACGAGAACACGCAGUAUUUAUAUCCCAGUAGGUAAACGGAAGUGGGUGCUAGUUAGUGCUUAGUAGAAGCUCCCUGUUCCCUCUCCCUGAGUCCCACAUCGUCUGGUGAGGGUGUGAGUGUCUAGGAUUUAAGUUCCAUAAGCGUAGCCAGAAGUCAACAAUUGCCUUUUGGUUGGGUUUGUGGGAUUAGCUUAGGUCUUAGGAAUUGAUAUUCUGCAAAAGUAGGUAAACGGAAGUGGGGCACUGCAAUUUGCCUAUGCAUAAUACCAUUUAUAAACAAAAGCAACUUUAAAGAGAGUUUUUGAGUAAUGAUUCCACAAAAUUUACACGAAAUUACCAAGAAAUAAUACAAAAUCAUUCGAGAAAGAUAAAUUUUGUUAAUGUCUGUUUGGUCACUGUCAAGCCAGAAAGAAUUUAAUGUUCGGUCCAAUAUUCCAUCAGAACAACAGUCGUCUUGCUGCUAAUAGUUCUAUUCUUGAUAAAAACCAAGGAAUCAUCAAAGGCAUAUAUUUUUAGCACGAAUUUCACCCCAAUAAUUUUCCUUAUGAAAUUGAUGAUGAUUGAAGGGAUCUUAUCAUAAGCUCCCCCACAAUCAGAACCAAUUUUGGUACAUUAGAAAUCACAAAUUCUUGGAUUUGUGACAGAGCGCGAGCUAAUUGUCUUAAUCAUGGAUGAGGACAUUUAUGUGACGAUUAUCAUGUCAAGAUAUACGAUAAGUCAAUUAGUUUUGCAUAACUUCUUUUUGGGUUUUCUAGUUUUGUGAAUAUCAAUAUGCAUUUGUAUAGUAUACUCUUUUCCUUAGUCUUCACGCAGCAUCCGUAGACCAUAAUUGCAUAUUAUUUUUCACUGCCUAUUUUUUUUUUUUUUACUUACUCUUUUUUAUCAACAACUAGUGUUCAAGACACACACCAACGUGUGUGCAACUAAUAAGAAAAUAUAUUGUUAAAAUUUUGAGUGAAUUUGUAUCAUUUUCAGAAGAAUUGGUUUCAUAUUUUUGUCAUUAGCUAUUAAAAAUAUUCGCAAAAAUAAAGUGGAUAAAUAGAUAGUUAUUUAGAAAUAAUUCAUAACCACAAUUGGCAAUUGAUUAUAUUAGGUGGUUAGUAAGGGUGGCAACAGGACGGGUGCCCACGGGGAUAGAAAUGGGGCAACAUACACCUGCCCCAUCUCCCACCCCGUCCCUCACAUACCAAAAAAAAUUAUAUAUAUGUAUUUAAAUUUAUAGAUGUAUAUACAAUACAUAUAUAUACAUAAUAUGAUAAUUUAGUUAUAAUUCAAUUCUUUAUAUUUAAUAAUAUAAUUAAUAACAUAAUUGUGAAUACACAAUUGUGAAUUGGUCCCAUUACAUUUCAGUCUGAUGAUUUAAUGUCAUGUUCAUGGCAUUGACAGGUUGCUAAUUUUCUUUAGUUAUUAGUAUUUGUAACUCGUUGAAUGGUCUAAAAUUGAGUACUUGAAUAUUUUUUUAUUGAAUAUUUUGCGAUAGAAUAAAUGAUAAAAUUGUCUUGUAGAUAAGCAGAUUGUUAAUAUAUGGUAAGUUGAUUUCUUCCCUCGCGGGAGAAAGGGGGUGGGGGAUCCAUUGCCACCCUUACACAGUUAGUGAGGGUAGUUUAUAAAAGACAUAAAGUGACAAAAAUUUGUUUAAACCAAAAGCCCCUCCCCGUUUAUAUCAUAUAUAGUAGAGAUAUCUUAUAAAUUAAAAUUCAGUAAAUUCCUGAGUUGCUGAAUCUGCUUACUAGAUCCAUGCCCUUAUGAAACUAAAAAAAGUCUGCCAAGAGAAUACAGGAAAGUAGGAACCUUUGCAGAGCACAAGCACUUUUCCAAAGUUAUGCAUCAUUAUCAGUCAUGACUAAACAAAGAGCACCCUAACAAAAGAGGUUCCUUUCCUUUACCUACAGUUUCUUGAAAGAGAGAAUAAUUAGGUACGAGGUACAUUUGAUAUAUCUUCUCCCUUGUUUUGACAGCGUAAAUCUCAAGAUUUCCACUACUAGUGCCCGCAGCUGCGUUAGUGGCAUUUCAUCCCCCUGCAUCAUUGUACGAUGCAUCAACUAAAGAAAUUUGCUUUGAUCUUUCAUUUCUUGAAAGGAGAACGAGAGGAAAGGGCUCAGUCUGUCCGUCUCGGCCCGCAUAUCCUAUAUGCUCCAUUGGCAGAUGAGGAGAAAAUCAUCCAACCAAGGUCGUCCAUCCAAAAUGGGUAUAAAAUAUCUUCCACUAAGCCGGGGUUGUCAAGGAAAAAAAUAUAUAUAUACUUUAACAAAUGUUUCGGUAACAGGAAAAGUGCAAUUACUAGAUAUUUUGGUUUUGACAGAGUCAAGAAAGUAAAUUAUGAGUUCGUCCUUCUAGAUGAUUUAAAAUGAGAAAUUUACCAAUAUAUUUUUCUUUACCGGUUUUUACUUUCUUCUUCGUUUGUCAUUAACGUAAUUACACAAGCACUUGCCAUCAUUAUUCAAGCAAUUUCAAUAAUAAAUUAUGCCACAAAAAACACUGCAUUAUGACAGGGAUGUUUUAGUCAUUAUCGACUGGUAUCUUUAACAUUUUUUUAUUAUUAAUUAUUUCAAGUUAAUGUUACCAUUGGUCGAACUCUUUCAAAUAUUACACCAGAAAAAAAAACACGUAGUACAAAAAUAAAUAUAAAUAAAAUAAAAGUAUUGAAAGAGGGACGCCACUACUCUUAAGUAAAUUUCUAAAUGAGUAUAUGAAAACUAAAUUGCCCAAGUUUACUAGGAAAAAAGCAGAAAUACUUGCAAAAUGAGGCCCAUUGUUGUAACAAUAAUGUGAUUGGAUAAGUUGCACAGACAUGAAUCAAGAAAAUACAAAGAAGGAUUCAUGUAAAUCUUAAUUAAAACUGUAUCGCCCACUGGCCAACUUACACCUUAUAAUAACAAUUAACGUUGUUUUCGUAGCUUAUUUUGGCACUAGGUAAUGGCCAGUUGUAAAAUGCAAUCAUGUCGGUUAGGCCGAACCAUAAUUCCACUGCCCCAAUAUAUUUUACCUACCGGAAUUGAAAUCCUCGAUGACUGAUUGAACAACUCCCCCGACGAGCAAAGUUUUGAACCCCACGAAAGAGAAAGAAAGAAAAAAAAUAAAAAUCCCAACUCCACAAGCAACAACUUCGGUCUUACUUUCUUGAACCACUUUUUGAGUUUUGCCAAGGAAGAUGGUCAAGAAUCACGGCAAUGCACUUCACCUCCCCAACUGCUCCUUUUUUGUCCCACUAGGCGGAGGGCCGUCAAACAGAGAGACAUUGGUACUGGAACAAAUUGAAAUCGCAACAAGAGGAGUCAACAAUUAAAACAGGGAACACUUACAUUUUGCUAGCCAAUCCAUAAUAGCUCUAAUCUUCUGGUAUUAACUUCAUCAAAUGCGGCUUCUAUAAGCCAAAUCAUACUUCUGAAUAAGAACAGGAAUUGGCAAAAUAGUCAUCACAAUUUCAAUUUGAGCCUUUGACAGUUGAUCAGAAGAAAAGUACAUAUUGGUUGAAUCAUGAAAAUGUGCAUAAACUAUCUUUAGACAUACCCAACCUGUCACUCGCUUAACGGAUCAUACGAAUAAUUAAGCCAUAUUAGAGUCAGUAAGGUCCAAUUAUUGAUACAUCCUGUAGAUCCAAAUUUUGUCGCAGUCCUUAACAACUGCUUCAUUAGCUGUACAGUGAGCAGAUACACGUCGUUUUACUCUCCGAGUUUCACGUCAUUUCGCUGAAUCCACCAAACCCAACGAGCGACAAUUCCAAUGCAGAAUAGCAUACAGAAAAAAGGGUAGCAAAAGCUUCCCAAGCAUACUUGAGCAGGAGAAUUAAUGAUUGUACUCUUGUUCUGAGAAGAGAAACAUUUUUGGACUUCCAAUUCCUGUUUACCCAGCUGAAGAAGAAUGUCGUCUGAAUCUUGUAACAGGCAAAAUUAAUGUAACCCAUCAGUUCAAUCCUUCUUCAUCUUCACUAGAAUCACCAAACAUCGCAGCCAUUUUCAUUGCCAGCUUGGCAGCCAUCUCCCUCCUCUGGAAAUCAGGCAGCAACCUUAAGCUGUUGCGCAUGUUUCCAAUCUCGGACAUCAACUGAUCCAGAUCCUCAAAAUCAUAUGUAGUACCCUCAUCAGGCUCUGAGGCUGUGCCAGCCGCAUGGAACUUCAUCGCUUCUUCCUCAUUAGUUUUGCCAUGCAUUGACGUUAAAGGCUCUGGCUGGCCUUCAACUGACCUGUUUUGGCUCUUUUGGUCGCAAUCUCGUGAAUCAAAGUUCUGCUCAAUCGCUCCACUAGUCCCUGAAGUUGUGGCAUCACCUUUUGCAGAUACCCAUCCCACCUCUGUGUCAUCCCAUGGAUCAGCUGAACCAGCGGAUAAGAUUUCAUAUUCAAGUUCAAAGUCUGAUUCUUCUUCUGACAACUCUGAGAAUGAACAAAUUAAAUAAGGAGUUCGUAAGCACACCUCCAACAUGAAACAAAACUGAAAGAGGGAAAAAUAUUAACUUUUGUGUCAGUGGGGGGACUUUGAAGGAAUCAAGAAACCAAGGAUUAGUGUAAGAACCUUCUUGUUCUGGUAAUGAGGGUUCAUGUAUCUUAUCACCAGAUUUUAAGACCAUUCCAGGCCACAUAUGAGCAGAGAGAGCCCCAUAAAGACGUUGCACACCCUGCAAAUCACCAUCCACGGAUAAACCUGCCAUGAAACUAAAAGCUCAAAAAAUUUGAAACGUGAAACUACAUCCACGACCGGAUAGCUAGACAGUGACCAGCAUUUCAAGUUCAAUUUGAGAAAAUUGAGGGGAUGGAGACUCUGUUGCAUUAACUUAAUAGAAGGAGAAUCUAGCACAAACUAAUAGAGAGGAAUGCAAAUUAGAUCAAAGGAUGAGAGAACAGCUGUUUCAUGAACUCUGCAAUAUUUGGUCCUGGCAAAAUUCCCCUUAUUGAGCACUAAACUUGCUAACUUUACUCCUGCCGAGUUUACCAUAUUUAGAGGCCUAAUAAAUCAGGAAAAAAUGUUGAUAAAAUCUCAUUUCAAACAAAUCAUACUAAGCCCACAUGACAUAAUAUGGGAUUAGUAGAGAGAGAAAUCAACUAGUCGGCAUGUACCCCUGUAGGUCUGCCUAGAGGUGAAGUGCAUUGUUAAAUGAAACUAAAUCUUACUGUUUAUAACACCCACCCAAGCAUUUUAUACCGAGGGCAAAGGAAAAAAAAAUUGGAACACAUCCAUCCAACUCCUUUCUUGUUAGAAUCUAGCUAUAUCUGUGAUGCAAAUAUCAAGGCAGUGAACUUGUGUGGGGCAAAAUCUUUGAAAUUAACUUGCAAUCAAUGAUAAAAAAGCCUUACAUUUGUCAAAAUCUGCAUUCGUUGCACAAGCUUCGAUGUACUCAAUAUUGUGUUCAAUACACCAGUCCAUACAAGACCUUUUCAUCUCCCAUGAUGGUUCAUCAUCUCCCAAUAAGCUACUACCUUCAGUUUCAGAAAUCCCAUAAUCCAACUCUAGACUAAAAUCACCAGAAGAUUCACCAGAUUUCAGCAAACAUCUCCUGUACUCAACAUGAGCUGGGUGACCAGGAAGGAGAUCUACUUUAUUACCAAUGCACAGCAGUAUGUCAAACUUUUGAAUAUCAUUUUGGGCCACCCAAUCUUUUAGUGCACUGAAAGACGAGAGCUGCAGAAAAACACAAGAGCAACACAUUUGCCACAUUAACGUUGUAACUUAAUGAACCUACUGUGACUUAGAGAUUACAUCAAAGUAAAGAUCAAGGAAAAAGGAUAGUGACUAACAUCAUUCAUAUCGAAGACCAUAACCAAGGCAGCCAACUGGUCAUAUCCUGGCAAAUUCUGAAUAGCAAAUUCAUCAUUAAGAUGAGCCAUCCAAAGAGAAACAUCAGCUACAUAGUACUUGGUGUUGAUUGUCCAGCUGGUUGUUAAACCAAAUUGCAAAAUUAACAAUUCAUACAUAAUUUAAAUUGUUGGAAACCACGAAAAUGGACUUUCCUCGGAGACAAAUAAACAUAGGAUAGAGUAGUAUUAUUAACUCACCCGUAUGCAAAAGUAUCAGAUGAUGAUGAAGAAUCCGAGGCAGUUUCAAAAUCCAGAGAAAGUAAUCCUACAAUUAGAACAUUUUCAAAGAAAAAUGCAUGCAAGAAUUAGCUUAGAAAACCACAAAAUUUUCUAAUUCCCGAUAUAAUUAAAAAAAAAAAACAAAUUUGACCAAAAUUUAACUGCUAAAACACAGAAUAUGAAAUCACAGCAUACAAAGUUAAUUCAUUUUUGUAGAUUUUAGGGUUAAAUUUACAAAGCAAUGAAUUUAAAUGUACAGAUAUACUAAAACUUACGGGAGAGAAGAGUCCGUUUUCCGACGGUGGGAGAUCCGAUCAUGAGAAUCCCCGGCCUUUUCUCUAGCGACUCCCGAUUAAGUACUUCAUCUUUCUGCUGCUGCUGUUGAUUUUGAUCCAUUUGGAUUUCGAUUUUAACUUCUAUGAUUGAUUGAUUGAACCUAUAAGACCAAAUUCCAGGAUCCAAGAAUCAAUUGGGCACUACUGAUGCGACUUGAGGAGGAUUUAGCAAAGAUGGAAGCUUUGAAAUUUUUAGAAGGGGAAUAUUCUAUAAACCCUAAUCCAAACAGGGAAUUAAGGAGGUUGCAACGACGCCGUCUGCGUAAUUGCACCAAGAAAUUUGAUAACUCGCGCUUCAAAAGGCGCUUUCUUUCGGAGUACGACUUCCCACAACGACGCAUGCAAAUUUUAUCUUGCCCUUUCCCGUAUACUUUCCUACCAAGUUCACGCUUGCCAAGCAAGGGUACAAACAAAACGAGUUUAAUCGAGCAAUUCACGAGUUUUUUCUAUCAAAAAUUUAAAACUCAAUCAGGCUCGUGUUGACUAUGUUCGAACUUGAGUUCGAGCAGUUUGAAUUAUUUGAUCAGUUAAUUCAAAUUUAAAAUAUAAAUUUUAAAACAUCGCCGACUUUAAUCAAAUUCAAUCUAAUUUCACAUAUAUUGUCAAGUCUGAUUGUUCAAAACUUUUACGGUUAAUUUUCUUCCUUCAACCAAUUCGGAGGUUUGAUAAGCAAAAACUAACCAAUGUUUAUUGCCUUUUUAUUUUUGUUUUGCCGACAUUAUUAAGAAAGUUGAAGAAAAGGCAGGAGGAAGAAAUGGGCUCAAAAGUGGCUGUCUCAGCUUUUACCACAUAUUAAUUUUGGGAAAUGAAUAGUUAAACCAGCCUCCAUAGAAUCAUGGAUUAGCUAAUGUUUUGCUGAGAUUUAUUUGUGUAACAAAAAAGAUGAUGUAAAAUAUUGGGACUCAGUUCGAAUAAGUGUUCGUGUUCUAGCAAUGCAGCAUCUCGAAAGUAGGUCUAGAAAAUGGAGCCUCUGAUGACUGGGAACAUCCCAAGUUUCACUAUUUUAAUGGCUUGAAAACAACGUCAGCCCUCCAUUCAAACACUACUGUCCCCUGCUUUUUCUCAAUCACACCCUCCCAUUCUUUCACAAGUUUUACUAUUACAAUUCUCACCUGUUUGGAGUAAAGGAACCGGAGAGAGAGCAAGUUGAUCGAAGACUUCUAAGAAAAACAAGUUUAGUUCAGUUGCCCCUGCUUAGAAAGUAGAGGAGGAGAAAAAAGCAGGAUAUAAGUCCUGUUUAAAUCGACGCUUGCACUUUUCCUAAUUCAGGAGAACAUCAAAGGAGAAACUUCUUUGAAUAGAUCAUCUCCAUUCCUUCAUUGCUCAUCAUCACAACUGUAGCAGGGAAUCUUCUCUUCUUUAUUCAACCUUCAUAAUGUUUUAUCUGUGAACUAUUCUUUUGUGCAGGCUGAAUCACUAUGACACUAAUCUACAUUAAUAAACUGGUUAAAUAUGGAUUAACAUGGGCUGUAUACAGGUUCUUACUCAGUUCUGUGCCAUAGGAUACAGAUAUAUUGAAAGUUUCGGUUUGAAUAUCUGCUUGUGGUAUCGUAUGAUCUAGACAAGCUCGAGUCUUGAUCAUUACUGUGGUAGAAAACCUCCCAUCAGUUGGAUGCUGACUAGUCCAUUUGUUUGCUUUUGCUCUGAGUGUUGUGUUGUUCAUCCUACAUGUUGUGCUGCUGUAGUAGACGAAUUUGAGUACCUUAUCUCAUAGGCUCCGUCUAUUAACUAUAUACUUCACAAACUAUACAAAAAAGAUUACAAAUGCGAUAGAAAGUAGUCCGUCCAACAACCGGCCGAAAAGGAUCUCGAAUAGAAAUCCUACAUCAAUAAAUAAAAUCCCCAUAAAAAUACCCCUUGUUCUUCUAGAUGUGCGUAUCAAGUUUAUGUUUGCGGAGUCUUAUUGCCAAUCAAAGAUUCACAUUCAAUUGGCUUAGUUGAGGUGUACUAGGCCAAGCGAUACCGUUUGGAUUGCUAUUUUUUAGAAUUUUUAUGUUAAAAUGCACUGUAACAACUUAAUAUAUGUGAAGUAAAAAAUGUGAUUGAGAAAUGUGUUCACGGAAAACUUAAUUCUUUUUUUUUUAGAGAAAUUUAGCAAUCCAAAUAAGGGCAUGACACAUUUGAUGAUGAGACAGAAAGCAAUGAACAUUAAGAUGAUUACACAAGCAGAAAGCAUUUAACAAUAAGAUAAAGUGCAACAGUGCGCUCUAAUCAUUGGCCUCAAGCUUUUUGUGAAUAUUUCCCAACUAGUUUAGCAAACCAAAACGAACAAAUAAAGGGGGUGUGAAAUGUCUAUUAACUCCUAUCAAUGUAGGAUAUCUCGGCAUUCUGAAUUUAACUCGAAAAAGUAGCGGGUAUACCUAAGAAUAUGCAAAUGAACGAGGCAACGGCUAAAGAAAUUUGUCAUAUCUGGAUCUCAAUCUUGCCUGUGAUCAUCUCUUUUCUCCUGCAGACUGUCACCAACAUUCUCAGGUACUGGCCUGGAGAACUAUCCAACAAUGUCAUAACUCUUAGCUCACAUUCUAAGCACCUUAUAUUCCAAAAAAUGAUAACCACAUGAACCUUCAAAGCCCUUGGUAUCCAUCCUAUUGUUCUUUUGCUGCAACUUGCUUUGCACCAACAGCAAAAAACUCAGUAAUGACUUCAAGGGGCAUGCCCUUUGUUUCAGGAACCUUUAAGAAGACGAAAACCCAUGAUAUGGCACAGACAACAGCAUAGAUGCCAAAAACACCAGCAAGGCCGAUGGAGGAGAGCAUUACAGGUAGACUGUAGGUGACAAUAAUGUCGCAAAUCCAAAAUACAAGAGCACAUAUAGCUAUGCAAAGGCCACGGGUUCGGGUAGGAAAGAUCUCUGCACAGAGGAUGUUUGGAACUGGACCAAAGCCCAUGACAAAGCAGCAGAAAUAAACCACAACACUGAUCGUGGAGACAACAGCAUGGGCAGUAUUUCCCAAGUUAAUAACAUUGCCUAGGACUAGAAUGACCAGAGACAAUAACAAGAAGGGCAAUGUACUCAGCAGAAGCAACCUGAAAAGGAAAAUACUCAGUCAAAUGUCCAGUUAAAUCAAGUUGAACUUCUAUGCUUCUACAAGUAAAAAUGAGAGAACAUUCCCAUUCCAAUUCUUUCAUCUCCAAUCUACAUUAGAGUGUGUUGGUGCGCUUGCUUUCGUAUUCAAAUUGUUGAAAGAAAUCAAUGAAAAGGCCUACCAUUGCGCAGGCUAGACGUAGAUAAUGAGAUAUCUUCUAAAACAUAAAAACGUGCAGUUCUGGGUUCAUGGCCUACAAUUUUUAAGAACUUCAGAAAAAAUUCAAACAGAUACAAUACUGGUGAAUCUAGGUUUCAUCAGUAGUGCUAUUACCUCCUGCCUGCAACAUCCAUCAACUUCAUAGCAACGCCUAUGCUUGGAAGCAUCAACAAGGUUGUAACACCACUUAUAAGGAAAGAUGAAGAAUCUGAACCAAUGCCCAUGUUUGAUAGAAGAACUCCUACACCCGCUUGUUCAAGAAUUUGUGGAGUAUAGUAGAGUACCCCAUUUAUGCCUGAAAACUGUAAAGGUACAGAAAAACCACAAAUGUUCAAGGAUGGAAUAACAAAUAAUUUCAUUCAUUUAUGCUGUUUAGAAGUUUUCAAGAUAUAUUUGUUCAGCUCACUUGACAAAUGUAAUUUUGCUGAAGAUCUAUCAGUGCAGUUCAGAGCUUAAAUUUGAACUAAGAAAUCCUUUCAGUUCGGACAAGGUCAUGAAACAAUAGUCCAGAUAAAUGCAAACAAGAAUGCAGCUAGGGGGAUGCAAAUAGGAAAUGAUUGUAGGUUUAUUUAGAGAAGUAAGAUUGGUAAGCGAGGUUCAGAAACUUCUACUGAGGGGGAAAAAGUCAUGCAGUUCAAGGAAAAAGCUCUGCAGUUUAUGAUUCAAGAAGCAUCAACUAGUUAAUGCUUUCCUAUGCUUCCUCCAAAUCUUUUUUGAGCAGGAGAGCUUGUGUACAUCAUACAGCAGGAGAACAAAAACAUGCAAGAUGGUACCUUCAGAUUUUUUGUCAGGAAUUCUCUGAGGGAACUGAAUUCCAAGCCCCAUCAUAGAGAGACAAAGCAAAAGCGUACGAGGACCAGAUAGGAAGCAAAUUUCUUGGGAAUAAAAGAUUUUCUGUGUAUACAUGUCAUGUAGCAUAGCUAAAUCUUUGUAACAAACAGUAGAAAUUACAGCCUUUUUGCUAAAGCAGAUAGCAAUAUUGCCCACAUGACUUAAAUAAGAAGACAACUCUCCCUUAGGUCACAGCUAUCAAUCUACACUCUGAUGAAUAACCAAUAAAGGCCAUCUAUGAAUGAGAAGUUCCUUAAAUUUCACUGUAGUUUUGCAAGAUACUACAUAAGAAAAACUUAGUACUGACAAUGAAAUUGUACGUAUUGGCCUACGAAGCCAAUUCUUAAUAAGUUCACAGACAAAUUCAACUUGUGAGCUGAAUACAACACCUAAGGCAUCAGUAUUGCAAAAAAAUAGGCGAGUCAAUGCAACAUCAAUUUCCAAAACACGUAUACAGGAGAGCAUUAAGUAAGGUUUCCUUUAUUUAUGCACUGUAAACUGUUUCAAAUCUGUUUAGAAACUAGCAAGCAUUAAAAUGGUUUCCCCAUUACUUUCGAAGUCCUUGAAUCUUGUGAUUAACUUUAUUCGAGACAACAAUUAUAUAGACAAUUCUAUGGUAGCAGAUACUUCUUCAAUUCAUGCUAAAUUUAGGAUGCCACUCUACUGGUAUACAUUCAACACACAAGGAAGAAGACCAAUUCUAAUUUAUAAGAGAACAACAUUUAUUUUGCAUUCCUUCUCCUCGAGGAAUGCAGCAGAAUCACAGGACAAAACCAAAGAAGAGAAUUAGACAUGUCAGAAUGUUAUUUAUGUGUUCAACUCAUGCCAUGCCACUUAAUCAAUUUACCUGCUGAAGUAUUUGAAUUAGUAUUCCGACAAUGAGUGCGUGUUUGACUCCUGGUUCAAGAAGAUCCCUCCAACUAGGCCCCUUAACAGCAGACUCAGAUGGUUUAUCCACUGCUUCUAUGAUGGAGCUUUGACCGCUGACAUCCUCUAAGCGGAGAACAGAUUGGCUCACAAGAGCAGCAGCAUGUAUACAUUCACCAUCUACAGGAACAUCUGCACCUGGUAAUGAUAAAAUGGACCCACGUUGUGAUCCAGGGACACCCUCCUCACGUAAAUAGAUUCUCUUGAGUCCUCCUCCAGCUUUCUCAUCUUUCCUAUAUGCAAGCUGCCAACCACCACCAAUACCCAUGCUACCAACUUCUUCACCAGCAUGUCCGUGCAUGAAGCUCGCAUUGGCUCCACGUGAGACUGCAUCCUUGUCUGUAUUUGUACCCUGUCUUGAGAGCAAUGGACUCCUUAAGUUGUCAUCAGAUUCAGCACCAGAAGCAUCAGAUAUAUGAUGUUCACCAUAGUCUUGUGCCUCCUCAUCCCAAUUUUCAUUUUUACCCGGAUGCUCUGCCACACUUAACAUGCUGCCAAAGUUGGAAAACAGCAUGCUUCGCAUACUGCCUGUUUCUGGCAGCUUUUCAUGAACACUGCCAAAUAGAGUGACCAUGGGAUCCAUAAGAGGCACAUUCUGAUUUGCCAAACUCCCAUGACGGGAAAGACCAAGAGUACUCUGUCCCCUGACAGGUUUUGCAAUCCAGGAAAGACCCUCUUGAGCUCCAUACAACUUGAUUUGGUCCUUCUCAACUUCAUGGUCCUGGUUGUCGUUAAGUUCAUUGUCAGGACCAAUUAUAUAUUCCUCAAUGGAUGUUUCACCUCCAACACCCAGGCCUUCAACCAAUAAAGCCAUUUCACCUGUGGACAGGAGGAACCUAGCAUUACCAACAUGUUAAUGGGCUUUUUGAUUAUAAGUUUCAAUCUCAAAAUCUUGUAUGACAUCAGAAUUUUACAGCAAAACUUGUUAUUUUGUUUCAUUGAUUUUCUACCACAUAAUGUGAAUCUGAAAAUGCAUGACUGAAAAGCAUGUACUAAAGACCUUCAUCUCAACUGCUUAGGUACCAGAAACCGGCAUCUAUACAGAAAUAUAUCACUAGAUACAAUAGAAUGCACAGAGAAGUUCAAGUUAAGUAAAUUGUAUCAGAAGAUCCUUUUCAAAUUUUAUCAGCUAUUGCACUACAUAUCCCUCACUAUAUGGUAAGAGCACAUCUAUACACACAAACACACAAACACACACACACACACACACACACAAGGAAUAAGAAGUGAUAGACUUAGCCAUUAUCAGCUACAGGAAAUCGAGAAAUAAACAUUAGAAUUGAGAAUGUCAAUCUUGGAUCUGCAAAAGAAAAUAUGUGUUGACAUUUCAAAAGUAUGCAUGCAAUGAAAGUGCUCUGAGCUUGAAGUAAGAAAAGAAUGCCAAGCUAAAAAGAAGCUCAAACGAAUUGCUAAAUUGUCUACCAGCCUGAGGCAAGGAAUAGUAUCAAUCAAAACAAACCUGUCACGUCCUCCCUGCCACGUAGUCUCUGUAACACUUUUUUUGCCUCCUGCAUCUGCCCUUUACUGACAAGCCACCUUGGAGAUUCAGGCAAGAAAAAAACAGCCAAUGCAAAAUAUGCUAGAGAAGGGAUUGAAAGAAUCCCAAGCAUUAGCCUCCAACUGGGAGAAUCUUGCAAUGACAUUCCAAAGACCAUGCAGUAUGACAAAAACAUUCCUGCAGAACCAGCAAACUGUGGAAGAGUGUUCAAUAGCCCUCUUAUUUCUGUUGGGGCUGUCUCAGAAAUAUAAAGAGGAACAAGUGUAACUGCGAGGCCAACUCCAAAUCCAUCCAAUAGCCUUCCUAAAAGCAGGACAUAUACAUUUGGAGCCCACAACAUCACCAACCCGCCAAGGAAAUACAGGACAGAUGAAAUUACUAGCAUUGGACGCCGUCCUAGCCAAUCUGCCACAGACCCAGAGAAUGUUGUUAUAACUGUGGCUCCAAUAAGUGACAUAGCAACAAUUAGCCCCACCACCGUUGGCUGAGUUUGAAGAUUAAAUUCCCUCUUGAUGUAAAGAACAGAACCUGAAAUAUAAAAGAUGUAAUUCUUUCAGGAAUUAGCGGUUGUGAUCGCAGCCAUGAGUUUGGAGUUCAGAAUAUAAUUCCCUCAAAUACAUGUAAGCUCAAGUCACAAUUAAGAGCGAAAAAGAUAGACUGCAUUAGAUCAUUGUUCAGAGUGGAAGUCGAAGCUUGAAGACUGAAGCAAAACCUCAACUAAAACCACCUUGAAUAAUUAUACACACCUGCUAUUGUUGCAUUAUCCCAUCCCUGUACAAAGUUCCCAACUACGGCAGCAAUUGCUACCAGUACAGCUCCCCUCAUUUUUAACGAAUUCCACCCUUUGUCCAACUGUUGAACCUUUUUUGCAGAUUCAAUUAUCUUGAACUCCAAAUAUUUUCAGCUUUUACUUGAACCUAUAACCACAACAAUAAAAGCUUCAGAAUAUGCAUCUGACAUUGACAGAACUGCAGAAAAUUGUAAUCAGGAGAAUUCCCCAGUGGCAACAUAUAAGAGCGCUUGAAGCAUGAAAGUACAAGAAUCAGAAAGAAUCAUUCAAAUAAAAUUCAUCAGAACAGAUGCAAGAUCAAUCAAAUCUUCACAUACAAUCAGUUUACUAAGAUUAAAAAGGAAAAAAAAUCUAAACUUGAUUUCAGUUAACCUUGCCAUUGCCAACCUAUCUAUUAGCAAAUGGAAAAAUCAGCUCAGAAACUCAGGAAACUAAACACAAUCAUAAAAUACAAUUCAAACCAACGUAUCAAAAAAGUCUUGAAACACAAGAAUAUGCUAUGUAGGUACCUUAGGCUCAAGAACAGCGAAUUGUAAAGGUACUGAUGGUAAUGUUGAUUUUGUAUUAUACUACAUGCAGAGAUCUACCAAUGCUGAAAAGGGAAUACUGUAUAUAAAAAGAUGGGCUCUUUUUUCUUAAUCUUUUGGUGGGGUUAUGUUUGUUUAAAUACAGAACCUGGUGGCAAAAGAAUCCAAAAGCCAAAACAAAACAGAGCUGUACUUUCUUGAUUGGUGAAAAGGCCAGCGACCCAAUACACAAAAUCAAUAAGGAUUUAAGACGGUCCCUGUCAAAGGUGCCUUUGGACGUGUAAAGGAGAAGGGCUGCUGUAAAAGAAGGGAAAUGUGAGAGAGGAGGAGAGAGGUGCAAUUUUCUGUGGUAUCGCAAAACCAGUUCAAAGGGGAUGAUUUGCGGGAUGGCAACAGAGGUAGGAACGUGCUUCGCUGAUCUGUUGUGUUUCCUUCCUUUUUUUUUUUCUCUCUUUGAUUAAGGGACAAACUAAUUGUUUUAAAAAAUGUGCAAUCCUCGGAGAGAUUGAUGAUUCAUCGGAGAACUUAAUUUUAUUUUUAUUUUUGUUGGUGACUUCGGAGGGUUUACGAAACUGAUUGUGUCAGAAAGAAAGACUAGAUUCAAGAUCCAUAACAUAAUUAUUCUUUUUCCCAUUUGGCUUUUGGACGAACAUACGCCAUUAUUUUGUUGGUACGUGAAAUCACUUUUGGACAAACAUACCAGAUUUUAAGGUUUUUUUUUUAUUAUUUAUACUAUGGUUUAGAAGAAAUGAAUAGAGAAGUGAGAAUGGAAUAAAGAUUUUUAGUGAUUGCACUAUAUUCAAUUCUAGAGUGUAGGGAUAGCAAUACUUGGAAAUUUCAAUUUGAAAAGGAAACGCCAUUUAUCAUGCAUUAACAAAGAAUUUAAAUGCAUUAACCAAAUAUUUUUUCUAACAGUUGCCUAAUGAAUAUUGGUUAUACACUUCAUUUUCACAUUAUUUAAUAUUUAAGAAUACACACUUAAAUUUAUAAUGCAUAACUUAUUGAUUUGACUUCACUUCAUAAAUUGAAAACAUUUUGAUUUGACUUCGCUAUCUCAUAAAGCUAAACUUAAAAAAAAACUUGGGUUUUUAAGGCUUAAUUUAAUUGAUAGAUACAUGAAUUAGGUCAUUAUUAGUUCGAAUUUCAAACCCUUCCCUUUCCUCUUCUCCUCCGUUGUAAGGUUUUGAAUCUCUUCAUAAGUUGCAUUUUUACAUCGAUUAACUAUAGCUAUUGUAGUGUUUUGAAGCUAUUUGUUAUUGUAAUAUUUUGCAUGGGGAUAUUCUGAUCUUAGUUUCUUUGUUGCAUAAUUAAAAUUAUUACUUUUUUUGAAUACAAAGAUCUAAACGAGAAGGGUACAAGUUUUUUAAAUGGCAAUCAAAAUUCUUAAGUAUAAACUAAUCUCAUCACAACUUACAUAGUAAUCAUUCUUACAAAAGCUAACUAGUGGCAUGUUAGUCCAAUUAGUUUCACUUUAGGGAACUAGUCCUAGAACCAGGGAAAAUUAUUUUUCGUUUUUUUUCCCUUUGCCGAGGUAAGAUUCUAUUCAAUAAUAUUCAAUUAAAUACUCGUUCCACGUCAUCUUGACGUAGCCCUCAUCUCAUAUCCGUUUGUUUCUUCUCUUCCCCAUAUUUUCCUUCCAUACAGUCCAUUUCUAGUUGGGUUCUGUCUGGCAUUCUUCUGCUAGCUGCUGCAUCCGUAUCAUGUCUGCAAAAGCUCGAAUUCAUCACACUUUUAUGAUCAUUAGCUGUAAAUUUCAAAUAUUUGAGAAAUGCUUGGAUGCACACUGUCCAGAUCUUUCUUGUUUAUUACUACCACUUAUACAAGCAACCUUCUUUCUUAUUUGGUUGAAUAAUUAUCUCAUAAAGCUAAAUAGUUAGGUAAUUCGAUUAAUCUUCUAUGCAUUGACAAUGCAUAUAUAUUGUCAAUCUAUCUUAAAUAAUGAAAACUAUGCAAAAUCAUGCAAAAUUUAAAUUUUAUACUUAUGUCAAGGAUUCAACAAUUUAUACGCUGUCAGUGUAUAUAAGAGUUACUCCUUAAAGAUUAAUCUUUCCUAUAAUAAUGGUGUAUACAUUGUUUAUAUAUGUGAUUUGCUCAAAACUUAAUUGCAGAAUUUAUUGCCUGAUACACUCGUCUAGCAAUUGCAAAUAUUCAUAAUUUCAGUUAAAGCCAUCCUAUACUAUUGCACCUGUUAAAUAUACAUGGUCUGACUCAUGCCUCCGUCAAGCAUACAUGGGAUGCUAAGGUCAAUGUCACAAUCAAAUAUCAAGUUUUUUACAGCAUAAAGAAGACAAAUAAUUUGUAGCAAAUGCAAGUAAGUUGCAUUGCACAAAUUUCCAACUUCUCGACUCGAUUGUCGAUUUUUUUUUUUCUGCAUCGGACUAUUGGUAAUCUAUAGGCCAAAAGUAAAUCCACCCCACAUGUGGAAGAUUACAUAUAAAUCCAACUUGUGAAAACAAGAACUAUAAACUUUGCCGAAGAUAAUUAAGAGACUGAUUGGGCACGUAAAACAAUGCACAAAUCUUCUAUACGUCUUCCUAAUUUGCCGACAAAUGUCCAACUUGGAAUGCACAUGCAUGACAGUUUCAUAUAACGUGAGCUCCUAAAACAAUUAACGAAGAAGAAGACCAUGAAUGGUUUACAUUCGAUUUGCAGAACCAAUCCACGACCUCACAGCACCAAUACAAGUAUAUAUAGGCUUAGACAUCCGGGGGUGGUAGAUGCAGCAAGAACAUAUUUAGCAAAUGGAACAAUCUUGAUCUCCAACUCUGAUUCUGCACCAAAUAUUGACAACAAUUGAUUUAUGGACUUUGUGGUAUAAUUUUUUUGUUGAUCACAUCAGGUUAAUGUAGAAACACUCAAGCAUGACUGUAUGACUCUCCACAGCUAAUUUGAUUUGCUUUGCGUGGAGAUGAAAAUAGAACACGUGAAAUCUUUAAUUUACAUUGUUGCAGAAACAAAAAGAAGGGGAAAUUCAGGGUGUGGUGAUAAGAAAAUGUUUAUGGCAUGGUGCAAGGAUGGAUUAAUAGCAUCGCCCUUCUUUGCUUUUGAGGGGUUGCAUCGACAAAAUUGUAAGGUAGGUAGCUCCACUAAAUGAAAAGGACACUACCUUAAAAGAAGGCUGAGGGAUCACUUUCAAUCACACUGAAAACUUACUGCAUUUGCUUGAACAAGAAAAAUUGGUAUAACAUAACCAAUAACCAUUCUUGUCAUUUCUCAUGGUCAAUUUUGUCUUCAAACGCGUUUAGUGAUAGGAACAAAACACUUGAAAGAGUAUUAACAAGCACUUAAUUAGGAGAUUAUUCUGAAAUUCCAACCUUCAGCCAGUGAGGAGGUUGAUCCCUGAGGUCAGGGAGGGACCUUUAAAACAACAUUCUUGGCAAAGUGGUUGCGUUUCUCUAUUAUUAGUAUGGCAAAUGCUCAUUAAUUCCAAAAUAUCGAUAUGUCUCUAUUCAAUCAUCAAUUCAGCAUCGCAUGCACUAAUACAAUGCCAAGUUGCCUUAAAACAUAUAUAGUUUACGUGAUGAAACGUUGUAUGAAUCCAUCUUAGCUAAUUCAUGCUAUACCAACCUUGUUGAAAUUUAGAUUGUCGAAUGCACUUAAUUCGCAUCAAAUUCAUUACGUGAGCGUGAGAACGCUCACAUCUGUUAUUCUUUUUCAUUUAAACACUUUCUGAAAUAAAUCUCAAUGGUUGAAAAAAUUAGUCUUUCGUAACUCUCUUAACGAGUAUUUUAUUGCGUACUGACUAGAUAAACCUAACCUUCAAGAAUUGCGAAAACAUCCUACAAAUUAAGGUAGCAAAACAUGUUAAAAAAAAAAACAUUUGUUGUCGUCAAGCAAAUGGUUUGAUAAUUAUACGAACAUUCUACCAAAAAGAAAUUUUUUUUUUUAAAAAAAUGUUGUAUAUGAGCGUUUUGAUUUCUCGCAAUACACCUCAUUGAUGAGACGCGCUUUCUUAAACAAGGUCGUAUAAAUGUUUCCCAUAUUUUCUUAAUUUAUGUUGAAAUAAAUAUUAAACUUCAUUAAUUGUGCUUUAGUGAUGUUUACUUUGGACUUCCUCUUCAUAAUUAUGCUUUCUCCAACGUAAUUGUGCCCGAGACUAUAUGUUUACCCCUAAUCCACGAGAAAACUAUUGUUUCAAACUACAUUUUCCUCUAAGGAAUAUGUAUACGUGUUUAUGCAUAUGUAAUUUGUAUGUACUUAAAAAAUCAAUUUUGGCUUCAAUUUGAAGUUUUGUUUGGUGAGAAUGGAGUUAUCAAAUCUCUCUUGCUACCCCUUUAAUGAAGAUGCAAUAUUGUCCUUCACUUGUUCACCAGUACGAUCAAAGGAUUCGGAAUGGACUUUUGAGGAAGAGAAACUUUUUGAAAAUGCCCUUGCUGUCUAUGACCUUAAUUCUUGGGAUUUGUUUGAGAAGAUUGCUAUCAAGGUCCCCGGAAAGACAAUUGAACAAAUUAAACAGCAUUUUCAAUUGCUAGUUGAAGAUGUUAAUUUCAUUGAAACAUGGAGUGGUCCACUGCCCAAUUGCAGAACAACCAACAAUGUAGAGCCUGAAUCAACUCCAAAUAGCACUUUAACUUCUGUUGAAAAUCGGCAGAAAAAGAAAGGAACUCGUUGGACUAAGGAAGAACACGAGUAUGUUUCAUAAACCCUUUAGUUUUUGUUGUUGAAUCCAUCUUCUCAUCUGUUAAUAUAAAUACAUAAGCCUCAAAUUUAACAGGCUUAUAUGUGAUUCUGUGCUAAACAAUACCGGAGUGAAAUAAACAAGCUAAUUUCUCGUAAAAGAAACUCUGCUUAUUUGCCAAUUUUCUCCGCUCUUGAUUCUCCUUUUCUUGUCUUUUCUUUUUCAAUUCUGGAAUGUACGGUUUUGAGAUAAUCGGUUAUUUCACACUAUUGUUUACACGGAAAUUUUGUGAAUGCUGCUCAGAAUAUAUAUGUGUUUUCUUUUUCUUCUUGAUCAAAUUAAAGUUUAGCUCGAUUUUCAUGUUCCUAGCUAUUUCUGGGAGAUAAUUCAAGAUUACUUUCACUUUAUUUGUUCAGUGGAGGCCCUUGGUUCAUUAAAUGGCGAAUUAUCACAGUACAAAAUGAGCAAAAGACUAAGAAGUUUAAAUUGUAAUUACAAACCAUUGUGCUGUUUGUGGAGUUUUCAUUUAUAGAACCAUCUAUUUUCAGAAGAAAUUAACACCAGUUGCUUUGCAUUUUUUUCUUUGGGGAGUCAUGUGAGCUUUAUCAAACAGUUAUUAAUCCAUUUUCAUCUUAGCACGUUAGCAUCUCUCGUUCAAUCUUUAAGUUGAUUAUUUCUCUUGUUUUAUGUUUUGAUGCAGGAACUUUCUACUUGGUUUGAAAAAGUAUGGCAAAGGAGAUUGGAGAAGUAUUUCAAGGAAUAGUGUAUUGACAAAGACACCAACUCAAGUUGCAAGUCAUGCCCAAAAGUACUUCAUUCGCCUCGCGAAGUUAUCAACCACCUCAAAUCCUCUAUCCUCAGCUGCUUCUCAAGGCAAAUCUAAGAUUAAAAUGACUCCUCCAUCUCAACGCGUUGCUGCUUAUAGUAGUGCCUGUAUAUUCUACCAGUCACCUACUACAGUUACAUCUAUCACUAAAAGAAUAUAAUUAAGAUGAUCUCCUAAUUUUGACAGUGAAAACGAAGUGUAACUUGAUUUGUAAGACACUUCGGUUAUGAGCUCAAAAUCUUGAAAGAUAGGUAAAACGAGUCCUAGAGGCAGGUACUCAAAUUUUAAUGACAAGUGGAGUUAUCACCAACACUUUAUAGACAUUGCUUUAUUAAUUUUGUUCUUUUUAAUUUCGAAACCUCUCAUUUAGACUCUUUUCUCCUUACCACCCAAUCAAUCUAUCGCUCUGCUCUUGAGAGGGUACAUAAAUUAAUAAGAUCUUACUAUUUCUAUCAACGAGAAACGUUGACCUUUUCUGGGAAUUUUUAAUUGGAAUGAAGCACAAACGACUGAUUCGAUGUUAGAUAUGGAUUAAGAUUGUCAGCUGUAUCGCUGCCAAAUUCGUUUAGAUUCGAAGGUACUGACUGACCUGUUUCUACUACGCCUCAGAUCUGAAAAGUUGAACAAGUAACAUAAUAAAGUUGAUUUAAUAAUAGCAUAAGGAGCUGAUCAAGCCAACUUCCGUGUGCAUGUACGAAUUAAAAAAAAAUAUUGUAGAGUCAAACUGGUUUCCCGGCCGGUAUACAAAUUUGUGCAUUUGUGAAUUGUUCUACGCAUUUAACCAUUAACUCUAGUUUGUUUGAUGCCAUGUUAAUUUGAUUAACAUCUGUCAUUGUAGCAAAACUCGGGUCGGGUAUCAAAGAUGAUUAUUCAUAUGCCCAAACUUAUGUACGUAGGAUUAAUUUCUCUUAAAAAUCAACUCCAUCAAUUCACAUAUAUAUAUAGCGUUACAUAACAGCCAAAUUGUGAUGAAAGGAAACAAGUAUGACAAUAACAAAGACACUUUGUACUAAAUUGCUUCGAAUUAUAUGUCAAAAAAGGAAAAAACUCCGGGGAAAGGAAUAUUUGAAUCAUGGAUACACGAGGAAAGUACAUUAAAUUGCUAUAUGAUCAUAAGAGAAAAGAAGCCAAAGAUAUACAGGAUGCACUAUUUGUGGUAAUUUCUCGAUCGAAAGGAUGCACUAUCAACAGGACUUCUAGCCUACGACGAGGGAAAUGUAAGAAAAGGUCAAAAUCCUAGCUUGGUUGAGAGCCAUCACGUACUAUUCAGCUUAUUGAAGUAAUGUAAACUAUUCAGCUUAUUGCUUGAGCUUCAUCCUGAGCUACUGAUCAGUUCAACUUUCGCUCCACCAAAGAUUAAUUGCAUCCAUCGAGAAUAAAAAUCACAAGUUCAAGAACUAACACAAGGUUAAUAUUUUUUGCGGAUUAAUAAGCUGCUGGUUUAGUUAUUUUUCAAGGGCACGACAUAAUAGAUUCCAUACUUAAUUAUUUUACGUAGAAACUCAUAUUUCAUGACCAUGAUGCUAUUCAAUUCACAAAACGCAAUUUUUUUUUAGCUUUUUCAUGAUGCUUGCAUAGCAAUUAGCAUAGUAACUCUCUCUUUCACUCAAUUAGUCAAGAAAUCUAGUAAUAUAUUUCGCACACAAGCAAUCCGAGUGGUCACUUACCUGUUUGUAGUCUUUGAGCAGCCAAUUAAUAGACAGGAUUAUUGUCUCACAAAUAUCAUAUUAAUUUCCAAAACAUGCACCGACAUUUUUGACACGUGUAUGAUUGACUAUAUGUAAUCACAUUACAUACAUCCACGUAUACACAGUUACAUUUUAUUGGUUUUUUUUUUUGUUUUUUUUUACCGAAAUUAAGGAUGGAAAUGGUCAUUCACUUCUUGAGAUAAAUGUACAAAUUAAUUAAUCUGCAUUCUAGCAAAAGUAACUGUUUCUUUCUAAGCAAAUAGAUUAAGGUUUACAAUCAAGAAUCUAAGGAGACUAGCUAGCUCCAUCCGGUGUUUGUUUCCUCAAAUGAGACACAUUUAUUUCUUUCUAAUUGUUGAAACACAAUUUGACAUUACUCCAUAACUUCUUUUAUUUAUGCAUGCAGGAUGUCCCUUUUUUUUGUGUGUUGUUGUGUGGCUGGAAAAACAUAUCAGAGCAUUUAUAUUUGUGAUUACAAAGACUCCAAGGCAAGUUGCAAGCCACGGCCAGAAGUACUUCAGAAACAAUCCUACUCCAUUUUACAAGCGUACGUAGUUAUAGCAUUCAUGACUAAGACCUUAUUCUCUUCUAAUUAUGUUUUGAAGAUUUGCUAUGAUAUCGAUCGGUUUCUGGGAUUUUGCAGCACUCUUGGAUGCAGUUGUAUUUCUCAGUGGAAUGGUUGCACGCAUGUUUUUUGGAUGAGCAGAUCGUGGUGAGUAUUGUUCUAACCUUUUAACGCUUAAAAUUGAACUUUCAUGCAUCUUGGGGCCAAUCCGCAAAAAUAAACCAGAUUAAAUUUCACUGACAGACUAGUGACAAAGAAACCAAGUGCGACGAGUAACAGGCAGGCUGUCAAAGAAGACCAGCAUACAGGAACGUCGUUUGAUAUGUCUAUGAUAUUCACCUGAUCACUUGGCUCGAUCGAUCUCGUGGUUGGAGAAGAAAGUGAGCUAAUUGGAAAGGCCAGUUUCUUGAUAAUUAAUAUAUGUCAUCACUGCAUAUAUUGAGAUAUCCGGAAUUAAGGGUUUUCGUGUUUUUUUGGCUAAAAUCAGAACUUUCAUAUUGAUGCACCAAAGUAAUUACAACCAAGAAAGGGGCGUACCCCUUUUGCACGUACACAUGCCGAGAAACAAAAAUUGGAUGGAUGGAUCUUGAUUCUUAACCUAAACAUCCCGAAGUUAGAUAUUAAAAGUAAUAUACAAACUCGAGUUAACAAAGCUAGAAUACAUUAAUGGGCUCAUAUUUGUACUGUGUCCUCUUUGCCGCAUUGAACCUGGUUUUGUCCUUAAAAAGUCUGCUCGUAUGGGAGAGAUGAACUCCUAUCAUUAAUCCCCCGUCUCGUAUCACUAAUCUUUCUUAAUUAUCAACUGUUGCAAAAUUGAACCUUUAGUCCUUCGAUUCACCAAAAGAUUUCUUUCUAACAAUGUAUGUAAUUUACCAAAAGAUUCGCCAAUAUGGUGUCUCCCUCUUUCUUUUUCAGCAUUCUUAACAAAUUCAGUUGCAUAAAUAAGGGGUUUUUUUUCUUCUAAUUUUGGGUCUAAAAGUGAGUAUAUCGGAUAAUGAAAAAAGAAGGAUCCUCAAUUUGAGGACUGCAAGGGGGUUUGAACUAACCUAGAUGUACUCUUCAAAUGUAUGAAAUUAUUUACAGUUCCAAAUAUGUAUUGGCCCCCAAGAUUUAAGAUACUUGAGCUAAUAUUGUGAAGACUGAAUUUUACCACUCAUUGAAAAUCAUACUUGUUUAACUAAAGUUGCAGAUUCAAAACUAGUCUUGCAAAAUCAUUUCCUUGCUCGCCCUUGGAACAACAUUUUUCUUCAUUGAAGUUUAGUAAUGACAAACUUUUUGUUGGCAUAUAUUUUUGUAUAUCACAAAAAGAAGGCUUAAAGCAUAACUACAUGGGAGAAAUCGAUGAUAAGUUGCACCCAUGCAAUCUGUUGACAUGUAAGGAUGGACUUCAUCUGGAUGAUCCCAUAGCAAAGUAACCCCCGGCCUGCUUCCAAGUCUCAGCGAUCAUCUUCGCCAAGACAUCUCACAAAGGUUUAUCAAUUCCUCCAAUAAUAACUUAAGCAGCAAUCGGUGGGCAUCGUUUUCGAAUUCACAUUCUUUUAUAUAUCAUGUUUUUCAUGUCAUUAUGAUAUAACUAUAUAGUUGUACACGUACAUACAUACUUACAUAUAUAUACAUACAUAGAAUUAAUCUUUUAUAAACUGAUAGUAUAUAUACUUUUAUCAUUGAAUGCAUGAUAUAUAAUCUAAAUUUAAAUUUAAAAUAAAAAUUUUGCAUAUGUAUCAUGCAUUCAACUGUGAUAGUGUAUACACUGUCAGUGUAUAUAAGAUUAACUCAUAUAUAUAUAAUAGUAUAUACACUAAGUAUAUAUAUGAUAUAUAUUUGUAUAUCACUAAGUAACAUGUUACAUACGGUAAUUGUAUUGGUAUUUGUCAUAUAGAGUACAAUUUUCAAUUCUAUUCUUAAGAUAACAUAUUUGCGGCAGGGAUAAUUAGGUUUUAGUACGGUUGGUGUAAUUCAUGUACUUUUUUUCGUGAUUUGAUCAGUGCUUACAAACAUGGUUGUAUUUAUAUAUUGAGUUGUGUACAUGAACAAAAGUUACUCGUACAACAAAAUAAUAUUAGUGUACAUUAAAUUAUGUAAAAUAUACAAUAAUUGCACAAUUGAACCAUAAACUCAAUCAUAUGCACCAGCCCAAACCCAACACAAACAAUCAAUCAAGAAUGUAAUUGCCAGAAUUGCACAUCUGCCAAUCUUGUCUUACCGAGUCUUGCACGUUGGUCCCCAAAAACAGUUGCGUAAAUGUAUGCUUAAACACCCAGAGAAAUAAAAAUAAUAUAAUGUCCGGGAAACUAGUAGAAAAUCCAGAGGUUCAGUUGAUUGUAUUAAAUAUAAAAAAAAAAAAUCAAGAACCACAAUUUCAAGAACUAACAUAUUAUAUACUGCAAGAUUAACAUUUUUAAUGAGUAAUAAGCUGGUUUAGCUUUUUUUAGGGUUUUUAGUAGAUUCUAUAUUUAUUUUACAUAGAAAGUCAUGUUUGGCGACCAUGCUAUUAAAUUCACAAAAACAAAACACAAUUUGUUUUGUUUAUGAUGAUAAGUACAUCUAUGUAUUACCAACUAGGCAUUUAGCAAUUAUAAUGCAAAUAUAUCAAUGGUCAUUGAUGCAUAAAUUGGGUUUCAAUUGAGAAAUGAUAGGAUGUCAGAAUACAGUACCCAUCUAUUUUUCUAGAAUAUUUUGGUAUUUUUCUAAAUCUUUCACUUUGUAUAAGAACCAAUAUAAAGGCAUGCUACCUAAUCAAUAGCUAGCUGUUCAAUGAAAAAUUCUAAGCCCUAAAAAGGAUAAAGUGAAAAGGGGAGGACUUGAGAAGUAAAUCUUAGAUUGUUAUUGCCACAUGGCCAAUACUACUGUCACUAUAUGCAUUAAUGGAAUUGAAGGGUUGUAUAUAAUCCCAUUUUUACUACUGUCUUUCCCGUCAGAAUCCCCGAGUUGUGCAAACAAUGGAAUGGUCUCCUGAAGACGACAAGCUACUCGAAAAUGCUCUGGCCGAACUCGACAGUAGUUCACCAAAUUCCUAUGAAGAUGGAGCUGACAAAAUCCCAUGGAAAUCUGUGGAUGAGUCAGAGGAGCUCUAUCAGGAUCAUCAAGCCUUAGCUCGUGACACGAAUUUGACAGAGGCUGAUAAUUACUAUCCAAUGCCGCUGCAUACAAAUGAUGGUGUAGAGAAUCCAGGUGCCCUCAAAUCCGGGGAGGAGACAGGGUCUUCGUCAAGAAAGAAACAAGCAACCAAAAAUGAUCAGCGUCAAAAAACGAUUCGCUGGACUGAAGAAGAGCAUCUGUACUGUUUAUCAUUCUGAAUAAUUUGAUUCAAUCGAUAUGCUUUCUCUUUAUUUGAAUGCCAGACAUCUCUAGCUACAACCUAGUGUCAAAAUUUGUUUCUGUUCAUUUUCUUGAUCUUUCUUCAACUUUCAGGCCGGAAUUCCAAAAUCAAUUUCACUUUACAAUUCAUUGAAGCACUUUCUAACAGCUAUACCAGGUGGAGUGGUCUGUCCCCAAAAAAAAAAAUUUUUUUUUUUUUGAGUCGCGAAAUUAAGUGAAAGUUAAGAUUAUACUCGAUAAUUUUUCUUCUUUUUUUUUUUGAGGAGAUAAUUUGUUUUAUUCGAACUUGGUUCCUGCAUAAUCUAGAUUUUAAGUAUUAUUAGUCAAGAAAUUUUUCGCACACACUAGCCAUCAGUUUUUGUUUUUUUAUUUUUUUUUAAAUUACACUAGCUAGCCAUCCGUUAAUUAAUCCAAGCUGUCAAUACAGUCAACCACUUCAUUAUGGUGUUGGCGGUGGCUUAUGUCUUUUUUGUAGUCUUUGAGCUGCCAAAUAGACCUGGUCACUUUCCCACAAAUCUCAUUAUUCACUUCCUAAACAAGCAUUAACCUUUUAAAACGGUUACAUCCACGUACAUAGCUAAAUUUUAAUCUUAAUUUUUUGUUUAAUCGAAAGCCUAAAUAUGGCCAUUUACAUCUUAGGAAAAAAAAUGUACAAGUUAAUUGGCAUUCUAGCAAAAGCAAUUAUUCCUUUCUAAACGAAUACUUUAGAUUUUUUUUUUUUUUUUUUUUACAUCAAGAAUGAUAUAUAGAUUAGCUCCAGUUAUAAUGUUUGCUUCCUCAAAAAUCACAAUGAGAUCAUUUAUUUCUGCUUAAAUGUUAAAAUUAAUCAAUCAAUUUUUUUGGCCUUAUGAACUGUUUCUCCACAACUUUUUUUUUUCUUCUUUUUAUUUAUGCAUGCAGGAUGUUUCUGGUUGGACUGAAACGAUUUGGAAGAGGAGACUGGAAGAACAUAUCAAAGCAUUGUGUGACUACAAGGAAACCAAGCCAAGUUGCCAGCCAUGGCCAGAAAUACUUCAGGCGCCAAAAAAGUUCUACUCCAGAAGACAAGCGCCGUUCUAGCAUUAAUGACAUCAUUGCAAUUGACCCAGACUUUGUUGUGCCUCAUUACACUUUCCCAAGCCUUGAACGAGAAAUUCCCAGUUAUUCUACUUCUACUGGCCAGCCUGAAAUUGCCUUGCCUUCAGAACCCGACCGAAGCUACGAUGUUGAAGAGUUACUCAAUUCAACAGAAGCUAGCACAUUCCAACUUGAAGAAUUCCCUCCUGUGGAUGAAGCUUUCUUUGAAGACCCUUCAUUUUACUUUCUUCCACCAGAUGCAGCUUAUCCAGGAGCAACAAUCAACAAGGAAAAUCAUGGGCAAGGACCCAAGAACUAGUAGUUUAAUGCUACUAGCUAAACAGGAAUCUCAGAGGGGUUAAAGGAACAAGCUUUAAAACAUGCUAGGGGUCUUUCUUUAAUUUGCAUGUGAUUGAAAAGGACUAGGAUCUUAUUCUCCUCUUAUGUUUUGAAUAUUUGCUAUGACAUCGAUUUCUGGGAUUUUGUCUUUGAUGAAGAAUUGAUUCUCGAUGUGGUACUUCGCAUUGGAAUGAUUGCAUGCUUUUGUGAUGGGCAAUUGGGAAGUAUCUCUCUUAAUCUUGAACACUGUACUUGAUUUAUCAUCUUGCUUGCAAUGUCCAAGUCAGUGUUCGGCCCAGUCGGCAAAGAGAAACUAGGGCAAAUUAGCUUUCAUAGACAAAGUGACAAUUUAAUUAAGCUGACUGUCGUAAUAGGACUAGCAUAUAGGAACAUAGUCUGAUAUGUCAAUGAAAUUCACCAGACUAGCUUUCUUGGUUGGAGAAGAAAUUGAACCAAUUAGAAACAUGGUUCGUCAUCGCAAGUCGCAGUCGCAUCGCGGUCUCAGUUGUUCCACAUCUGUAGUGACAUAUGGGUUAAAUAUCGAGUAAUACGCACAUUAUAACACAUAGUCUGAUAUGUCAAUGAAACUCACUUUCUUGGUUGCAGGAGAAACUGAACCAAUUAGAAAGGCCAGUUUCUUGACAAUAUCUCAUGACUGCAUUUCUAUGUUGCCCUGACGAUCUUUUAUGGCUUUCAAGCAGAAAUCAGGGAUUUUAUUGAUGCACCAAAGUAUUUACAAUCUAGAAAGGGGCAUACCCCUUAAUUAUCACGUCCGGAAUCUAGCUAAUGAUUAUGCUACUAAUAUAUACAACUUCAAUUCUCAAAGCGCAGGUGAAUCCCUAAUUUACUUGCUAGACUCUUCCUAGCUAACUAUCAUUCAUCAAGGAUCUUUAGUCCUUUACCUCUCACAUCACAAAUCUUGUUGAGUUGGAACUGGAUGUGAUCAAAUUGGAAAUAUCUUGUGGCCUGCCUUCAUCAUUGGAAAAAACAUAAGCAACCUUUCAUGAGCUGAUUAUCGCGAACUUUCGUGCCCUCUUCUAGUAUUGAUGCCCGCAAGGAUUCUAAAACAUUCACCACCUCUGCCAUCUCCGGUCUUCUUUUAGGGUCUGCGUCCCAACAACGUUCCAUCAACCUGGAUAGAUUCCUUGGACAAUGCUGAGGUAUUAUCGGCCUAAAGCUGGUAGAGAAAUCCGGUUUGUCACAACAAUAUAUCUCCCACAAGCAGAUCCCAAAGCUGAAGACAUCACACUUGUGAUCAUAAGGACUUCCUACUAGAACCUCAGGAGCCAUGUAACCCACAGUCCCUUGGGCCGAUGUCAUCUGACCAGGAUUCAGAUCCUCAAAUCUUGAAACCCCAAAGUCAAUGAUCUUCGCUCUUCGUCCUUCUUUAUCAAGAAGUAUAUUCUCCGGCUUCACAUCCCUAUGAACAAUCUUCUGGGAAUGAAGGUAAGACAGCCCUUUUGCAACUUCUAAAGCAAGCCAAAUAACAGUAUCGAGAGGCAAUUUUCUACACCUUUUCCUUCUGAGGAAGGAUCUCAAAGUACCACCAUGAACAUAUUCAGCCACCAUGCAACAAGCCAUUCUUGGCAUGCAAGAUUUACCUCGUCCUUGUUUAUUUAUGGUCAGGUUUGCUGCCUUUUUGGUUGCUCCGAUGAAUCUUGCUAUGUUAGGAUGAUCCAACUUGUUCCAAAUCAAUACCUCCUGAAUAAAAGCAUUCCAAACCCUAGCUUUGUAGUCGCCCACCAUGUCAAGAACUUUGACGGCCACUUGUUUACCAUCGUAAACACCUUUGUAAACUGAACCAAAACUACCACUGGCUAUAUGAUUCUUUAUGAUGAGUUUAUUGGAAUCGGCCUCCAGAACAUGAUUCAAGUCCGAUGCUUGGUGACUUGAGCCUUCUUGCUUAGCCCUAGUCUCUUCCAUCUCUUUGUCGAUCUUCGUACGCUGGCGAAUGGCUGAAUAAUCUCUUUUUCGUGUGUUUUAGUUUUAUAUAUAGGAAUUAAUAGCGACGAAAAUAUCUGCAUUAUGGAAAUUCAUCAUAUUUCCUAGUAGGUUUCGGAAACGCAUAGAAUUAUGUUAUAGGAACCGACCAAGUUGGUCUUCUGGCUCUCCUGUCCAAUCCAAAUCUAACAAAUUAGCUUAGAUAUAUCACCGUUAUAUGGCAUAACACUCUUGUUCAUUAAAUUCAAUUAAAAAUUAAUUAUUGUAUAGUUAAUUAAAUGUAUGAGAAAAAAAUCCCGUUCAGGUUUAAUUUAUCAAUGUGAUCUUAUAGCUCAGUGCAAAAAAAAAAAAAAAAAAAUUAGGGCUCGAAGACAAAAAUUAAAUUACUUUCUUUAACCUCUGAACCUCAUAUCCAAAAAGAUUGCAAUUAGAGCUGGAAGACAAAAUUCAAGUUACUUAUCUUUAAAUUGAGCUCCUCAUGUUAGGAUUGAUUUAUAAAUCUAGUCAAACGAAACUUUCUGCUCAUUAAUUUUUAAGCUCAACCAAUUAUACACAUAAAUUUAAGAAAUUUGUAUAAAUACACCAAACAACUUGACAUCUACAUUCUGAUGUAUCAAGCAACUUCCUUUGUCAUGAUCUCAUGCCUUCCAUUGAUUUUAUGUGCUACAUUCGGUUUUGUCAUCAGACUUUGUAUAAAAGCUAAACUUUUUUAACUCUUUUCGACUUCUUAAAUUCCACCCCUCUCCUCUCCUGAUAGAAGAAAACAAAAAAGAAAAAAAAUUGCUAAACUUUCUUUGUACCCUACGUGGUUAAACAAAAUUUAUCAUCUUUUCAUCUUCAAACUUACCAGAUCAGCAUAAAUUUCUCCUUAUUUGGUUUGCGAAAAAUUUCUUUCUAACAAUAAUGUAAUAUAUCAAAAGAUCUCCUAAUACGAUGUCUACCUCUCUUUUUUUUCUAUUUUCUCUCUUUUUUAUUAUCAAAUCAUGCUUAACAAAUCCCACCAAACCAAAAUUAAAGAAAAUAACUAGAAACAAUUUUGAAUCUAUAGGCUCACCUAGAGUUUGGGAAAAACAAAUUUUGUUGUUGCUUCAAGCAAUAUCUUAUUCAAUUCUUAUUCUUCAUCGCUAUUCAUCUAAAAUUGAGUGUGUCAAAUAAUGAAAGAAUAAAUAUCUUGAUUUGGGGCACAGCAAUACAGUUUAAAUUAACUGUAAUAUAUUCUUCAAAUGCAUGAAAAAGAAUUUGCAGUUUUGAAUAUGUUUUGCUGCAUCCAUUUAGAAUUCUUGUGUUGACAUUUUCCAUACUAAUGCACUUGGAGUUUCGAACCUCAAAGUUUAUAGUAUCAUAUUGAAAAGUGUACUACUUUUUUAAAUAAAGUUAAAGAUUUAACAUUUUUGUGGAGGAACAUUUUUCUUCAUUCAAAUUCUUUUAAUGAAAAAGUUUUUGGGCCGUACAAAAGUUUAGCUCCCUAAAAAAUGUCAAUUAGUUUUGAAGUUCAAUCCCCCAAAAUGUUAAAAACUGUGGCAAACAAACACACAAACGAACGAGGAUUAACAAGUCGAAUCAGCUAAAUGGGCCCAGGAAAAGGAAUCAAGGAAAGGCCCAAAACGGGAAAAAGAAGUGCCGAAAAUUAAUUGCCAAAGAAAAGUCGUUAAAUACGACACCGUUUUCAAGGCAAAUUUAAGGCUGAGCUUUCACGAAAGCGAAAACCCCUUCACAGUGUCGGUUCCGAGAGUUGUGGAAUUGUUGGGGUUUAAGCCUCCUUAAGACCAGAGAGAUCCAUCCACUUUCCUGAACCCAGCCGGGCAGAAACAGAAGAACCCGAAAAUGGAAACCUUGUUAAAAAUUUUGGUGCUUUUCUUGUGAUGGGAUGAAAUAGAGGAAUUAGUGUAGAAUUUAUUCUGUAGUGUAAAAAUGAAGGGAGUGGGAGAUGGAAAAAGAAUCUGUGAAGAAUUCUCAAAUGGGUAUUAUGGGGUAUGUGCAGUUGGUGGAAUGCUCAGUGCUGGAACUACCCAUGUUGCCAUCACCCCUCUUGAUGUCCUCAAAGUCAAUAUGCAGGUACGUCUGCAUAAAAAGAACGACAAAUAAGCACAAAAAUUUCUUUUUUGUAAUGUGUUUGUAGGAGAAACAAGAAAAAAAAAAAUUGUAUUUUUGUGGGCUUCAAGGUUUUCUUUUUCAAUUUCAUUGGUCAUUGUUGGAGAUCGUAAUGAUGUUUGCUUUAUGGGCCUUUUUUGGUGAAGCUUGCAGCUUGUAGUGGGUCUUUUGUAUUUUUUGGUGGCUCUAAUUGAUUCUAGUGUGGCUAUUUUGUUGAAUGAGGACUAAGGAAUGUGUUUUUGCUGUCCCUCCAAAAAUAUUAAUCUGGCAUAACUCUGCUUGCAUUUUAGAAGCAUGAUGCUGAUAUUUGUGAGCUCUAGCAUUUAUACUUGGUGAUGGCAUGCUAAGUUGGUAUUUCCAGUUAAGGGGGAGAAACUGGAAGAAAGGCACGGUAGACGGGCUUUGUGAUUCGCUGUUGAGGCUGUUGCAAUAAGCGAGACUAGGUUAACCCGAUGAUCAGGCAAUGUAUUAUUGAUUAUCUAAUGGAUGUUUCCGCUCUAAUGCUCUACCCAAGAGUUAUCAGUAUAUAUAAAAAAGUGUGACUAUCUAAUAAAUUGCUGUUGGUGACAUUACUGUUGUGAAAUAUCCAAGUGCAUUGGCUUAUAUUAAUACUAGGUAUUCAGUGGAAGUUGGUUAUUCACGUUAUGAAUUGCAAACCUGUAUAAGUUAUUAUCUUACUAGUUUGCUCUUUUCUUUUUCUAUUUUGAUUCAUGCAGCGAUUUUUAUCUUUAUAUAUACAUCUGUCUUUAGCAGUCCUAAAGUUUUUACCAGUUAUACAGUGAUCGGAGUUCAUGAUAGCCUUAGAGAAUGUAAACUCGCUGCUGUUUUCUGUGGACAUUAUUCCAGCUUUCUUAUUAAUAGACAGCUGCUCUGUAGAUCUGUCUGACCAAAUUUGCUAUAUAUCUUCUGUUUUGUUCUCUCAAAAAUUCUCUAACCUGGAAUACUCUUUUCUCCUGAUCAGUGGAAUCUUAUGUCUUUGAUUCCAAUGAUUUUUUUUUUUUGGUUGGUUUUCUUACUUUUAUCCGAAGCUGUUGAAGUUGAACUAAUGAAAAAACACAAAUUGUACUUAUUAGGUGUAUCCUAUUAAGUACCAAAGCAUUUCAACAUCUUUCACCACUCUACUAAGGGAGCAAGGCCCUUCAGCAUUUUGGAGAGGCUGGGCUGGGAAAUUCUUUGGUUAUGGUAUGCAAGGUGCUUGCAGAUUUGGCCUGUAUGAAUACUUCAACAAGGUUUACUCAAAUGUUCUGGUGGAUCAGAACAAGGGCUUGAUCUUUUUGCUCAGCAGCAUGUCUGCUGAAGUAAUUGCAAAUGUGGCUCUCUGCCCUUUUGAGGCCAUUAAAGUUCGGGUCCAAGCACAGCCUCAUUAUGCGAAGGGUUUGGCAGAUGGUUUUCCAAAGCUGUACAUGUCAGAAGGACUUCGUGGGUAUAGACCUACAACAUCAUGAACUUGUUCAUUCACAUAAAAUCCUAUUUUUCUGUUUAAUAUUUACUGGAAGAAUUACACCUUAGCUCUCCUUUGUUUCCAUUUUCAGCUUAUUCAGAGGACUUAUUCCACUGUGGGGUCGUAAUCUACCAUGUAAUUUCUAACUUCAUUUAUACUUUAUUUUGUAAUGUAAUAGCGCUUGAACUUUUGAACUUCUUGUUCAUGUUUGGUAAGUUACAAGGCUUCAAGUGGAGAAAUAUUAACAUUUUACAAUAGAUAGUUUAUAUGUCCUUUUCAUACAUCUGAACCAGCACUCUGACAUUGGAAGAGGAUAAUUAUCAAUGACAUUGCACAUUAUUGAAUAUUGAAUCACAUUGCAGCUGUUGCUAUUUCCCUCAAAUGAUACAUCAUUACAUACAAAGACAGAUUCAGGUAGAAACUGCUUCACACAAGUUGGGAAUAAUGGCGCACAUAACUCCUUAUAGUUGUAGAUGUACGAUGGAGAGUGGGGCUUACAAAAGAGUAUGACAAAUUAUGUGUAGUUUAUUCAUUUCAUCUCCAAAUAUUUGUGCAGUCUCAGUGGUCAUGUUUUCGACAUUUGAGCAUUCGGUGGACUUUUUGUAUCGAAAAGUAAUGCAAAUGAAAAAGGAAGAUUGUACGAAAGCUCAACAGCUCGGAGUAACGUGCUUGGCUGGAUAUGCUGCUGGAUCUGUUGGUAGCAUUGUUUCCAAUCCUGCUGACAACAUUGUUGCCUCUCUUAACAACAAGAAAGCCAAUAGCCUUAAGCAGGUGAUCUCCACCUAUGUUGUUUCUCUGUACAAAAUCUAACCACUUAUGCAGCUCUAUGCUUAAUAUUGUCGUUUAUGUUACCAGGCUGUGAAGAGAAUUGGGUUUGUUAAUCUAUUUACAAGAAGUCUUCCAAUUAGGAUUAUGCUGGUUGGGCCUGUUGUGACUUUGCAAUGGUUUUUCUAUGACACCAUUAAAGUGUUGAAUGGAUUGUAAGUUAUUCUUCAUCUUUAUAUUUGACUCAAUUUGUCUUUUACCAACCUUUUUGCUGCAGUUUUACCUUUUUCACAAUCUUAAGUGGGUAAAAUUUCCAGGGGUGUGGGAAAAUAAGUUUGGAUGUCUAUCUGUUGCUAAUUGUAUGUACUCAUUCUGAAAAAAUUUUGAGCUGUUAUUGUUUGUAUGGCAUAAAUAGAAAUGGAUAAAUUGCUGAAGAAGUCGUUAAAAUCUUCUUGUUACGUGGACGGUUAUAAUAAAUUGGCAUUUUAAAUCUUGUGUUAAAAGGGCUGAUGACUAUAACAAAUAGUACCUGUAUCUUUCUUUCUUCUUGCACUCGUGCCUUUAUAUUUUUUCAUAUAUGUCGAAAACAUAUCCAACUGUUGUAGAAAUUAAUUUGCACUUGAACAUUACAGGCCAACAAGUGGACAUGUUAGAACAGAAGAAAGGAACACAGCAAAAACACAUUUGAAUGCUCCAGCUGAAUAGUGGUGUACAUUUUGUUUACCGGAUUAUAUACUGAUCUAGUUAGCACAGUUCUCAAUUGUUUUGGUAUGCUGCCUGCUCUUUUGUUGCCAGGGGUUACUAUCCUCGAGCCCUGUGCAAGCAAAACAUCUUUUGUUGAGAUCCAUGCUUCCAAUUGCUCAUAACUUUCUUACAGCCCAUGUAUAUUCUGAGACAAAACUGUUGGCAUAUUCUAUUGUAGUUGAUGAACUGAUACUGGAAAUGGAAAAUUUGACAACAGCUGAAGCGGAUAUGAAGACUGUUGACAUGCUCUGGGUUUUAGUUUCAGGUGGCUGACUCGUUUGUAACUUGCAUUUCAAUGUUUUCAUAUUUAAAUAUGCAGUUUUACCUUGUUCCAUACCUAAAUCUGGAGAUAGAUAUCAACUGUUACAAUUGAUCAAUCUCCAGCUAUUUUAUGAGUUCUUCUAUCACUCUAUUAUUGCAUGAUUUUCCUCAUGCAUGCACUGUUGUGUAUGCACCUAUUAGGCUAUUACCUUGCACAGGGCGGUACACUUGCAUGGUUAGUGCUGUAAAACAGAACAGAAUGGCUAUGUAGGUCAUAGAAGGUACCACACACCAUUAUUGUUUGUGGAAGAUUAUCGUGCUGGGCUAUACGCACAUGAAUUACAGGAUAGAAAUAUGGGCUAUCUGCACAUGAAUUGCAGGACUGAAAUAGGAAAGAACACAGCAUUCGCCAGGUUACUUCACAGACCCUCUGCAUUUGAUAAAGAGAGGAUAUGGGACAUUUGUAGGUCGUGAAAUCCACAAGCCAUGUGCGGACGUGUUUAAGCUAUAAUGCCUAUGUCCCGAAUUGGCCACAAGUGGAAUGACUUGUGUCGAAGAACUGCAAAUUUUCAAGCAUUAACCACUUUUUUUUUUAAUCUUUUCCACCCUUCCCCCUCAUUGAUCCAGCUAAGAAUCCAAUCAUGGAUGAGUUGCUCCAAAACUCUCUCCCCCGUGUUCUUUUUUUUUUUUCCCUUUUUUCUAAUCCAUUUUAAGUUUGUCAAAAUUAGACUGCUAUGCUUUGUUAAGAACAUUAACCACCACCAGCAGAUCAUUCCUUCCUAGCGCCAUUUCCCGAAACACAGAAAAGGAACACCCACUGGUUGGACUUAUAUUGCAUUAGGGAACAAUCAGCCACAGGUAAUUCAAUUAACCAAGAGAAGCAACUUUCCCUAUCGAUGGCAAAAGCUCAUACUUACAUGCUUCAGUAGAAGCGGAAGCCCAAGAAGGGCCCAGGCAGAAAACAUGUCAGUCAACAAUUAAACGCACAAACCCAGAAUGCUUAAACAAUAAAGAAAACACACACACGCACAAACAUGAUGAUUCACCAAGAGGAACAGAGUGGCCAUCACUCAGGCCAAGUAAACAAAUUCAAAAUACAGAAUUCCUUUUGCUUAAAAUUGUAGUUGACUCGCGAACACAGUAAUUUACCAGGGGAGCUAUAAUUCCUGUAUAAGAGACACUCAUUGAUACACUCAACUUGGGCAUGCAGCUCAUACAUAGCUGUCAAUCAAUGACUUCCUCAUCUCAUCAACAAUGGCACUAGGUUGAGCUUCUCUUAACUUGAAAACGCUCUCUAUAACAGACAAUUCUGUUGCGGUAGUGUCAGAUCCACAAAAGGCUGUCCAGUCAUUAACUGUCAGGCCAGCAGCGAUUACUUCACUACCACGAUUCACUGUCCCUGCCACCAGUGGAACCUGUAGGAGCGUAGAGAGUUCAUCUAGGUCCUCUAUGGACGUAUGAGGAUGCACCUGAGCAACAACAGAUUCAGUGAGAAACAGACACGUGCUCUUAACUCUAACUUCAUAUUUCAUUAGCACAAAUCACAGAAUUAAGGAGUUUUAUAUCCGUUCAAAUGUUCACUAAGUACAAGGUGCACUGCUUACCAGGCCACCCCUAUUUGAAAAUGCACAAUAGCUGCCCACCAAAAUAUUUCCAGCAAUUGUCUGUCUAAAAACUUCUACUCCAAGAACAUCUGCAAUCAUCUCCUCAGUUUCCUAUGAGAAGACACAGCACACCAAAAUUACCAGCUUAAUCAAUGAUUAAAAUAAGCUCAUUUUGAUUUAGACAGUAUAUCAUGCUCUACCCUUCCUGAAAAAAGUUAUAACCAGACAGAGAAAAGCUGAAUAAUUAGCAUAAAAUUAAUAAGGUAGAUUCCAAGUGAAAUAUCAAAUUGCCAUUGAAGAAGCAAAAUUUGAAACAAGUGCAGAAAGCAUCCAGCUGAAUAUCACCACAACCUAUUUGAGGCUUUUACCAAGAGGGAAAUGCAUGCAUACAACAAGAACUGCUGUCAGCAUUGAGAAGCAUGCAUAGACUUCAGAUUUGUCACAUGACAGGCAUAGGAUGUACAGGCAUAUAGAUAAACAUAGGGAGGAAGAGUCUAGAUGACACAUGCAAGUGUUUCAAUCAGGUCAAUUGCAUUCCCAGACAAUAUAAGAAUUGGAAAAGCACUGCUUUAUUAGGUAUAGCAAAAUUGCCACUAACUUUUUCACAUAAGAUAUAUGGUAUCCAAAUCAUUAAGCAUGUUAUUAUCAAGGGAAAGGACAAUAUUACCCUGUCGAGAUCGGUGUGUGUAAGUGCAACAUGAUCGUUGCAGGCAAUGCAGUUUCCCAAUGCAGAAAGUCUCUCAUCAAUGCGCUGAACAACAACUGAAUCUGGUAGACUAUUCCUCAAAUGCUGAAGUUCUUUAUCACAUAUAAUGUAAAUCAAAGUCAGAACCUUGAAAGUCCAUAACACAUCCACAAGCAAAGGUAGAUAAUUCUCAUAUGCACCACAACUUUUUUACGAACAAAUAGUGAUCUUAUGAUGACAUGUAAUACGUCAUCAAUUAAAUCCAACAAAAACAUGGUCAACCAACCCAAGAAGAAGACAAAUGAAAAAGGAAAAGAACAAAGAUUAUACAUUGCACAGUGUAGCUGAAUAUCAAUACUUGAAAGGAAAAUUAUUUGCUUAAAAAUUUUAAAGCUGUGAAUCAAAAGAUACACAAUAACUGUACUAGCAACAAGUUCAUGAAGUUGUUACCUUGAUCGGUGGUAGUAUGCGGUAAGAGAAGCCCAUUCUUGUUUCCUAAAUGAAAAAAGGGGGAAAGUUAUCCUAUCUAAACAGUCAUUCCAAUGGUACUCAUGUCUCUACAAGCAAAAUAACUCUAAGAGCCUUCUAAAGUCCUCACCAGCACAAAGUCUUCCAAUGAUCCUAGUGCCACCAAUCGCGGUCUUCACUACCGGAAUUACAUCAGCCAAUUCUGCCUCAAACGUACUACAAUACACAAUAUAUAGGUUACACACAAGAAAAAAGAUUUGCUGAAGAAAAAGGGAAAAUAAAUUUUAUCAUGUUAGUAGAGUAGCUUGAAGCGAACCUGUAGAAGUUCUCAGAACCUCCAAUGGCGACCAAGCAAUAAGCAUUGGUCAACUUAGAAAAAACUCCAACUUCGCAUGAAUUCUCAAAUUGCAAUCCUAAAAUUAAAAGCAACGAUAAUAAUUAUGAUAUUAAAGGAACAAUUUUCACGCCAUAAAUCAGCUAAAAUCAAUUCUUUUUUUUAACUCAAUGACUUAUUUGAACUGGAAUACUCACUGGUAGCCAUGAUUCCAAGGAUAUCAAACAAAUAUAAACACCUACUCGAUAUUAGAUCUGAAAAGGGAAAAAAUCCAAGAAGAAAGGAUUGAACAUGGAAAGAAAGAAUAAAAAGCAGGAACAAAUAAGAAUAAUAAUGAAAUCAAUUACGGAAUUCUUACAAUCAAGAAAUCGAGGUUCUAUUGAAAAUUCGUAGAUUACCUAAAAGGGAUUUGCUGGGAGAAUGAUUUGAACGUUCAGCAGACGCUAAUCAACGAGAACAGAAACCCUGAUUAGUGUUUUAGGGUUAGGGCUUAUAACCAAGUCAAAAUAAAGAAUCCAAACGGUGAGAGGCUGAGAGCUGUUUUGUUUUCCUGGCUUUCCCCCUCUCUUUUAUUUAUUAUUUUUUUUUGGCGAUAAUUUGCGGAGGUUGUUUGGAGCCAGACGCUGAAAGGGCCUUAUAUGAAGGCCCCUUGUAUGUCGCUGUUGAGGAUUCAACUUCUCGACCAGUUUGGGCCAGAUUUAUUUAUUCCCCUUUCGGCCCACGCGGAAACUUCACCCUUGUAUCCCAAGAAAAAAAAAAAAUUUCUCAUCUUUGAAAUCAACAUUGACAGUCAACAUAUUAGACAUCUCACGUCAUUUCUUGUGAAGAACGUUGAAAGCUUGAUGAUCAAGAAAAGUUGGAUGUGAGCAGGCACAUAUUUGUAGUAUUGGUUUGUUGCAUAUAAUUUCACAUGGGUUUUGAAAUCUACCCUGAUGGAGUUAUUUUCUAACUACUUUGUUUUUGUACUUUGUAUUUAAAGAAUCAUACAAAUACAGCCAAAAAAUAGAUUGUCCAUUAGCAUAAUUCAAAACUCAUUUUGUAUAAUUUAUGCCUUCAGCUUCUUCAAAAUCAUGCUAAUUGCCAGUCAUUCUUUGCGACAAAUUCAGAACAUGUAAUUAGGUAAACUCAGCGUAUUUAACCAAAUGCUAUCUCUUCCUUUAAAAUUGUCUUACCAAAUAUGCCAGGUUAAGUCUGAGUCUCAAAAGAUUCAGGCACUAUUUGGAUUGAGGGAAUGGGAGAGGAAUCGAAGAAAUUUGGUUUUUGUUGUUUGGAUUGACUUUUAAGUAGGGAAAGGGUCUAAUAAUUUUGUCGAAAUAUGGUUUUCACUCAAAAAUGGGCGGAAACGAGGGAAAUGAAAAUAAAUUAAUUUCAAUAAUUUUAAAUUUUUUUAAAAAAGAUCAAUUUUGUCUAUAUUUUCUGGUAAUUAAAUACUUGGUCUUUUACUUUCCUUUCUCUUCCUCUUCAAUCCAAACAAAAAAUUAGUAUUUUCUUUCAUUUCCUUCCAUACUUAAUCCAAACAAAAUAGAUGGACAUCACUUUUCUCUACUCUCCUUUCUUUUCUUUUCCAUUAGUAUCCUUUUCUUUCCCUUCCUUUCCGUCAAUCCAAACGGUGCCUUAGAAAUUAUGGGAUUAAUCGAAUUCAGCCUUGGGCAUGCAAGCAAAAAAUACAUCUCCGAGUUGUAUUCAUGUAGCCAAGUAUACAACCUUUGGCCUUCGAUUGACCAAUCCAAGUCCAGCCUUUUAUCCUUGAAGACCAAAAACAAAUAGGAAAAAUUUUUAAAGGAAUAGGAAAUCCUCCGUGCUCCAGUGCAAUAUUCUUAUGAGAAUUGAAAAUGAGAGAGAGCUUGUAUUCUAUAUGCGCAUUAUGUCGACAUGAUCAUGAAUGUUAUUGUUGCAGUAUCGUUGCUCAGCAUCCUGAGAAUGAUGAAAAUCUCACAAAACCCAAUAUUUACAACAAAAGAAUAGCCACAGAACUUUUUUUUAAAAAAAAAAUUUAAACAAAAACAAUGAAAACAUAGAACAGGCCAGACUGAUGAUCGAUCAAAAUCACCCAUUACUACAUAAAAUUCGAGAAUUUAAAAUCGUUCUGAUGCCCGUAUCUGCAAGUGAAAGAUUGGCUUCGAAAGUAUUCCACCUCCUCUUGUUGCCACUUUCCAUCAUCAAAGUUCUUAGAGCAGCUAAAGCUAUCAUAUAUAAUUCAACAGCUCGUGUCUUUCGCUUUCCUUUGCACACGAUGACUUCUUUAGAACUACCUACUCCUUCAGCUGUGGUGGCCUGGAUUAGCCUCUCCAAUAGAUGUUUUAUUGUACUCAGCCUUCCAUUGGCUCCAAAGAAGUUACUGCCAUGAACCAUCUUUCUGGUUCAUGCUAACUUGUUCAAGUGAUUUCUUUUCCAUCGCAAACAGAAUUGUUUCACCAAAAGUUACUUAUACCAUGGUCCUGGAGGCAGUGAAAUAAAAGAAGAUUCCACAUGUUUUUCCCUUAUCACAAUGCAUUAGUGAUUAGCCACCCACCCAGGACUAUUCAUCUCCCUAACCUGGAGUAAAUAGCUUUUUGUAAAAAAGAUGAACCCUAGAAAUCUUCACCAACCACUACUUUCCAUAAUGCCAAAUCCAUAUCUCCAUCCCAACCAUUUUAUAUUUCAUCUGCAUUACUAUUAACAUCAAGGGGUUCAUUCAUACAACAGUUCCCAGAGUUAAGACUUAGGAAUUGAGACAAAUUUAGUACAGCACAAAAUCACAAAUUCACCUCUAGAUAUUCAUAGCAUCUAGCUUCAUUUUAAAGCAACAACUCGGCAGAAUGCACAGAAAUAAGCUUAAAAUGCGAGCAAAAAAGUUAAGGUGGUGCUUAUGUUAUAAGAAAGGUACAUGCCAAAAGCUACAGUGGCGGCGGAGACGGAGUCGCGUAAUAGGCGGAUGGGGACGGUGGUGGAGAGCUUGAAUGCGCUCGCGGGAUCAUCUGAGCUCAUAAUCAAAGCCGCACCGGCUCCGCCUCCCGCGGCUGUGGCCGCCAUCAACAGUUUCGCUCUGGUGCGCCACACCGAUCUCACCGCCAUUUAUUGGCCUUCCUUUUUAAUUUUUUUCCCCUUGUCCCCGCCUUUUGAUUGGCUUCGGGUUUUUAUUUAGAACUCCAAGAAAACGGGGUGGACAGAGGCGAAACUUCCUCUAUUAUCCACAUAUCUUCUGACAGCAGCUGAAGCGGAUAUGAAGACUGUUGACACGCUCUGGGUUUUAGUUUCGGGUGGCUGACUCGUUUGUAACUUGCAUUUCAUUGUUUUCAUAUUUAAAUAUGCAGUUUUACCUUGUUCCACACCUAAAUCUGGAGAUAGAUAUCAACUGUUACGAUUGAUCAAUCUCCAGCUUUUUUAUGAGUUCUUCUAUCACUCUAUUGUUUCAUGAUUUUCCUCGCGCAUGCACUGUUGUGUAUGCACCUAUUAGGCUAUUACCUUGCAUGGUUAGUGCUGUAGAACAGAACAGAAUGGCUAUGUAGGUCAUAGAAGGUACCACACACCAUUAUUGUUUGUGGAGGAUUAUCGUGCACAUGAAUUACAGGAUAGAAAUAUGGGUUAUCUGCACAUGAAUUGCAGGCAGGACUGAAAUAGGAAAGAACACAGCCUUCGCCAGGUUACUUCACAGACCUCUGCAUUUGAUAAAGAGAGAAUAUGGGACAUUUGUAGAUCUUGAAAUCCCCAAGCCUUGUGUGGACGUGUUUAAGUUAUAAUGCCUUUGUCCCGAAUGAGCCACAAGCGGACAUCGUGUUAUAGAAUGACUUGUGUCGAAGAACUGCAAAUUUUCAAGCAUUAACCAAAAUUUUUUUUUUCUUUUCAACUCCUCCCACUCAUUGAUCCAGCUAAGAAUCCAAUCAUGGAUAAGUCGAUCCAAAGCUCUCUCCCGUGUUCCCUUCUCUUUUUUUUUUCCCUUUUUUCUAAUCCAUUUUAAGUUUGUCAAAAUUAGACUGCUAUGCUUUGUUAAGAACAUCAACCACCAGCAGCAGAUCAUUCCUUCCUAGCGCCAUUUCCAGAAACAUAGAAAAGGAACACCCACUGGUUGGACUUAUAUUGCAUUAGGGAGCAAUCAGCCACAGGUAAUUCAAUUAACCAAGAGAAGCAACUUUCCCUGUAGAUGGCAAAAGCUCAUACUUAAGUAGAAGCGGAAGCCCGAGAAGGCCCAAGGCAGACAACAUGUCAGUCAACAAUUAAACGUACAAACCCAGAAUGCUUAAACAAUAAAGAAAACACACACACACACAAACAUGAUGAUUCACCAAGAGGAACAGAGUGGCCAUCACUCAGGACAAGUAAACAAUUUCAAAAUACAGAAUUCCUUUUGCUUAAAAUUGUAGUUGACUCACGAAUACAGUAAUUUACCAGGGGAGACAGCAUAAUCAUUAAAAAAAAAAAAGGAAAAAGAAGAGAGAAAGAAAAAACAUACAAUGUAAGUAAGAACAGGAGCUAUAAUUCCUGUAUAAGAGACACUCAUUGAUACACUCAACUUGGGCAUGCAGCUCAUACAUAGCUGUCAAUCAAUGACUUCCUCAUCUCAUCAACAAUGGCACUAGGUUGAGCUUCUCUUAACUUGAAAACGCUCUCUAUAACAGACAAUUCUGUUGCGGUAGUGUCAGAUCCACAAAAGGCUGUCCAGUCAUUAACUGUCAGGCAAGCAGCGAUUACUUCACUACCACGAUUCGCUGUCCCUGCCACCAGUGGAACCUGUAGGAGCGUAGAGA